rnacentral:lncRNA from 1 species
UAAUCCAACCUUGUCUAGUCGUGUUCUUGUUAUCUUAUCCAAUCCAAUCCCAUACCCCAAACAUGCCCAUAAAAUGUUUAUUGUGAUAAUAUGAUUUCAUCGAGUCUUUAGUGCCAUUUAAACAAUUGUUCGAAAGUAUCUUGAAGGAGUCUUUUGUUUAUUUAAAAAUUCUAUGAAAGCGUGCGCCUCACCUCACUGAGGGUUGCACCUGUGCAGAAGCACCUUGCGCUCACACUCUUAUAGCUCUUUGUGCCUUGUGCCUUGUGCCUUUUUAGACAUUGGCUCGCAGCUAUAGAAACAGAGGAGGAGAAAGUAAUUUUUACUUGAAUUCUAGUUCAACCGAAGUGUGCUUCGACCCGAACUUCACUUUCUGUGAAAUAAACGGGCCUUUACCUGCGAGUUUGCAAAACACUAAGCUAAGAGUUCCCCAUUGACUCCUCUCCAUCAUCCAACAAUGGCUGGCGCCCGAGGCGAAGAGGUAUGCACCUUUCUCUCUCUCUCUCUCUCUCUCUCUCCCUCUCUCAACCUAGUUAGUUGAACCCUAAAGGAAUUUUUGAUAGUUUUGUUGAGAGGAUUUGAUGAUUUUGAUUCAAUUUGAAUGGAGAAUUCCCUAUGCAAUAUGAUUACUUGGACAAACUAGAAGAAAACAAGCUAUAUGGAACCACAUGGCAUAUCACAUGGCAAAUAUUUGAAUUUAAGUGCGUCAAAGCACUUCCGUCGCAGUUCCUGUCUAAUUGUUGCAAUAAAUAUCGCAUAUUCUUAGUUAAAUGUAUUUUUGAUGAGUAAUUUAUUAGUUUCAUUGGAAGAAUUUGACUAUUUCGACUCAAAUUGAAUUGAAAAUUCCCUAAAAACUAUUAUCAAUUGAACAAAGUAAAAGAAAACAUGUCAUGUGGUAUUGAAAAUAUUCUCUAAUUGAAUAGUUCGAGGUAGACAUUAGGUUUCAGUUUGGUGUUUAGGUUUGGAUUUAUCAAAAAGAGUGUUGGUUUCUAUGAGGAACACUGAAGUUUUUAUAAAUCUGAGCUGAUAUUAUGUUGAUAGGUGCUUGUUUAGAUUUUUUAAAUAUAAAAACUACAUCAAAUUUAUUGCUUUUGUUUAAUUGGCGGCAUUACUUUUCAGUAAUUAAGUAAUUUUACUGAAAGAACUAGAGGAGUGCAACUCAAUUUGGACGAAGAAUUCGUUAAACAAUGGAACUGUUUGAAUAAGCUGAAAGAAAAUUAGCUCUAUGAUUGUAAAAGAUGUACUAAUUGGAUGGUAGGGAAAAUCUCGAGAAGAUUAUUCCUCAUAGAAAUAUUGCUGUAUUUAAAGUUGUUAGUCUCCUUUUGCGUUAUUCAAGAGACCAUUGAUUCCCAUAAUAAAAGCUAAACUUCUCUUAGUUUGAGGAAAAAGAAUGAGGAAAAAGAAUUAUAUUAGGUUGAUCAGUGCAUGUUUAGAUAUCUUUUAACAAAAUGACCUCAAUGGUUUUGACUUUUUUCCCCUCUCUAGUCAAUGGAUCAAGUUACAGACUUUCUGACUUUUAUUGCUGAAUUUAAUACCAUGUUGAAGUUCUGGUUUUAAUACCAUGUUAAGCAGUAGUAAGGUUUGUGUAAUAAUUAUUUAUUUUCUACUGAUAGGCGGCAUCGGAGACUGUGGAGUCGGUCCACUUUAGCUUUUAUAAUGAGGAGGAGAUCCGCAAAAUCAGUGUUAAAAGGAUCACAAAGCCUGAUCUCCUUGAUACCAAGAAUGUUCCUGUUUCUGAUGGAUUGUACGAUCCAGCUUUGGGUCCGAUCAAUGAUACUGAUUCGUAAGUUUUAAUUCUUUUGCUAAAGUUGUUCUAGUUGUGAAAUUCAUAUAUAAAGAAUAUUAUAAUUUUCAUCAUUAGUACUUCUUUAAUAGCUUAUUAUUCUUACAUGCAUGGCAAAUAUCUUUCAUUUUGUUUUUUUUUUUCUUUCUCGGAAAAGUCUGUUAGUGUGCGUCCAUUCUCUUAUUGUUAUGACUGAGCACUAAUUGAAAUUGGCUUGAUAUCGAUGAAGUGAAAUUGGCUUGAUAUCGAUGAAGCGAAAUUGGCAUGAUGCUAUAUCAGUAAAGUCUUUUCAAAUACCUGAAGCUAGGUUUCUCUGGCUAUUCUUAUGGUAUCGGUUGGGUUUUGUCUUUGGCCAACUAGAGAAGCAAUCAUCUCUGAUGUUUCAGCUUAAUGCUCAAUUAACUUUGUUCAAUGGGUAGUUAGUUAUACAUGCAUUAUAGAAAACAUAAUUGGGCAAGGUUCCUAUAAGCUGGUGUUGGUGUCACCAUAGAGGAGUCUUCUCUGUAACACCUACAUUUAUGACGCCAUCUUUGGCACAUAGAUGAACCCACAAGCAUUAACAAAAUAACAAUAACCUCUUUUGCCGUCCUUCCCAUUUGAAAUUACUGAAAUGGUCUUGAUUUCGCAUAAUCAGUGUGACAUGGCUAUGUGAUUGGCUAACUUGGUUGUCUACAUGGUGUUGGUGUUAGAGAGAAUGCAUUCUCGUUGUAGUGAGGCCUUCUGCAUUCCAAUAUGUUUGAUUGCCGCUUUGUCAAGAAAUAAAAGAAAAAAGGAUAAUUGCAUAUGGCUCCUUGCAAAGCUAUCAAAUAGCAAAUAUAUCACUGCAAAACUUAAGUUAUCAAAUUUAUCCCUCCAAAAGUCCUCCCAUCUGCAAAUGUGUCCUUCUGUUGUCAACAUUUAGAUAACCAUGAAUUAAAAAAGCUAACUACAAUUAGCUAAGGGGUAAAAUCACCUUUUUACCCCUUAUAUAUAUAAUUUGUAUUCCAAUGUUGAGUCCCGUCAUCUUUCUCACACUCUCCUCUUUACCCAUGGCGACAACAAGACCGAUGGUGGCGGCGGCGACGUCGAAGGUGAGACCCUCGAUCACAGCAAAAUAAGGUACGCUGCAUGUGCCGCGGCGAAGGCGAGGAGAGAGAGAAAGAAAGAUAACCUUUUUGCAGGGACAAAUUUGUAAUGGCAAAAAUUGCCAUUUUACACGCCCACAGGUAAAAAACUAAUGGUGAAUCAAACGGUAGGGACAUGUAUGAAUGAACCAGAACUUUUGGAGGGAUAUAUUUGCAAAUCAGAGAGUUUUUGAAGGGAUAAAUCUGAUCAUUUAAGUUUUCUAGGGAUUUAUCUGUUAUUUAAUAUUUUACAGGGAGCUGUCUGAAAUUAACCCAAAGAAACAAACUACUCUUCCUUUUUGUUUGUAGUUUUAAUUCUCAUUUAUAAGGGCGAAGACUAAAACAAUAUAUUGGAUAUAGAAGGAAGAAACUUCGAAGAAAAGAUGAAGCUUUUUUAAAAUGCUUACCUGAACUUAGGUCCCAGUUAUGUAAGUAAUGUCUGAAGAAAAUAGUGGAGUAGAAGAGGGUUUCAAUUUACAUACCUAGACUAGAUGUGAAUUUCAAUAUAGGCAAAUGAAGCUUUCUAACAAUUGCGUACUAGUUUAGAUCUAUGAAGAUAUGAAAGAAAUAUCUUUUUUGGUUCUUUCUCUUUAGCGAACUCAAGAUGAAAUGGUUGAAAACUAAAAAGCAUAUGUUCCUUAGCUAUGUGUGCACUUAAUGCUGCUUUCUGAUGCAUGUUUUCUUGACCUUUCUGUGUAGCUGCAAAACGUGUGGCCAGCUUUCUGUUCGUUGCCCCGGCCAUUGUGGUCAUAUAGACCUUGCUAGACCAAUUUAUAACCCAUUGUUGUUCAAGAGUCUUCAAACUCUUCUUCAGAUUACUUGCUUCAGUUGCCAUAAUUUUAAGUUGGACCAUGAAAAGGUAAUUCUCCCUUCGCGUAAUUUUUACUUAUUUAAGGAUUGGCUUAACUGUAGACUUAUUUUCGGCAGUUUGAUUUAGGUUUUGAUUUCAUUUCAAAAGUUUCAAUUGUAGCAGUUUAGUCCCUGAAUUUUGGUCCCAGCUUCAAUUAUGUCCUUGAUGUCUCAAUUUUGAUUCUGAAGUUUUGUUUUGAUUUCAAUUUAAUCCUUAAACAUUUUAUCCUAGUUUCAUUUUCAUCCUCGUGCUUGCUAUUUAACAGAGAAAAGAGCAAGUGAUGGUGCUGAUGUAGCACUUUUUACAGAUGAUAGUCUGUGGAAAGAACUUAAUUGGUAUUACAAUAAACUUCAGGGACUAGAUUGCUGUAAUUGAAAUAUGGGAGUGAAAUUGGAAUUCAAAUCAAACAACAGGGACCACGUUUGUAGUUAACCUUUUAAAAGUGUAUAUUUGUCUAAUUAUCAUCAUAAAUAGUUCACCUAUAUACUGUUCUUAGGUCAGAAGAUAUACCUCCCAACUCAAACUUAUAUUAGAGGGCGACAUUAUUGGGGCUAGAAAUUUAGAAGCUGCAUCAUGGAAUCAAUUAAAUUCUUCUGAAAAUGAGACAGUGAGUUCUGCUGAUUGUACCGGAGAAUCCUUUUCAUCAAAUCCGAAGCAACGAACAUGGACUUCCCUUCAAUACACUGAGGCUCUCUCUGUCCUUUCCAAGUUGAUGAGAGAGAAACGUAAGAAGUGUAAUAAUUGCGAGGCUAAAAAUCCAACAAUUACCAGUCCUACAUUUGGGUGGCUGAACAAGGUACUUUUCAUUUACAACUUCAAAAUGAUUGCUUUUACAUCUUUGUCUCAAUAGAGUGCUGAUUUUUUUGUGAUUGAUACAUCGGCUUAUGAUGGUGUGUUCUUAUGUGAUUAUUCCUGUCUUUACUGUCAAUGUGAGACUUCUAGUUGUUCACUUUUUUAUAUCAAUCUUUACUUCCCCCUUCCUUUCCCUUUUUAAACUUGUCCAGUGGAACUUCUUAUUAUCUUGAAUACAAUGUCCUAAAUAUGUCCUUUAAAUAUUUAGCUAUGCCAAUUGUAUUGGGAUAAUUUUUUUUUAGUUGGGGUAAUUUUCAAAAGAACCCCUCUAUAGUUUCAAAUUUUCAUAGACGCCCCUUCAAAAUCUAAAAUAUCACAUAUAUCCCUCUAAAUAUAUGACUAUAUCAUAUUUGUCCCUACUAUUAGCAAACAAUAAGCUUACCCCGGUCAAAAGAGGGUUAAAUACUGUUAAAUUAAUAAAAUGACAAUUUUACCCUCAAUUAUCCCUUGUUGGGCAAUAUUUUAAUACAUGUUAUUUUUCAGUUUUUUUGUCUAUCACUUUUAUUUGAUUAAUUUUUCUUUUAAGAAAUUGUUAAAAUUUUGAAAUUGCGUUCUUUGCGAUAAGAUUGGUAAGCUUUUAGCUUACUGGCGGGUAAAAAUGAAAUUUCGGAAUUAAUGUACCAAAUUUGCAAGGAAUUUUACUAGUAGGGGGCAGUUGAGAAUAUUUCUAAUGUUAACGAGGGCAUUGGUGGUAUUUUAAACUUUGAAGGGGCAUUGACGAAAUCACAGCAGCUCAUAAGGGCAUUUAGGAAAUUAUCCCUUUUUAAUUUAGCAAAUCUUAUGUUUAUGGAAGUAAAAGCUGGCAGCAGAAUCUUUUGAGUGUUGAUUGGAAGGAAGUAUUAUCUUGUUUUGAUCCGUCAUAAAUGAAUUAACAGGUUAGCUUGUCAAGUAAAAUUUUUUGAACAGUGAAAUGAGAUUGUCUUGUUUAUCAAUUUUUAGGAACCUGUAAGUGUGAGCAUGGAUGCAUCUGUGUGAGUUGCAAUAUAAACAUGAUGUCAGUCAGUCUUGUUGCUAGUACAGAGAAGCAAUUACUUUGCUUCACUGUGGGAUACAUGAUGUUUACUAGUGAAGGUCUAUUGAUCUCUGCUUGCUAAUACUCAUAAGGUCUAUUAUGCUGUCUCCUCUGUGGACCUCUUUUGACAUUGCUAUUAGGUACAACUAAUUAUAAUGAAUUUCUUUGUACCGUUUGAAAAAUUUCCCACUUUCUCUCCCUUUUAGCUAAGGAAUGGAUGAUAGUAUGUGCCAGGUGGAUGCUAGACAAGGGUUAUAGUUUGGUGAUCCCCUUUUUCAUCCACAAUGUGCUACUUACUUUUAUUCGGCAAUGUAAAUUAUGCAAUGCUGAAUUCAGAUGCUUGGAGUACUAAAUCUAUAGACAUCUGUUUUCUUGUUUCAUUAUGCGCAAUUAAUGAAAUUUAGAUGGUAAUUUUCUGAGUGAUUUUUUCACUUUUUUUCUAAUAUCAACAAAAAAGUUUAGUUUUAUAAACUAUAUACUUAGCAUGCUUACCACUAGUAUUACAGUUGAUUAACAUUUUUUUCUUGAUUGUCUCGUUCUUUUGCUAAUUUUUUGGAUUUCUUGUUUCUAGAUUGUGCGUUCAUCGGAUGUAAGGGCAAAUAUAAUAGCUCGGUCUGAGAUUGAACAAUCCUCCACUGUGGAACAAAAUGAUGAAGCUGAUACAAUAGCAACCAAAAAAGCUAAAAGACAAACACGGCGUCUUCCUGAUGAAUUAGCUAAGCAGAUGUUAUCUUCUGGGCAGAAACAUCUAUUUCCUGUGGAGGUUUGUUUAUUUAUAGUUUUUCUCAUGACUCAAUUUCUUUUACAAAAGAUUCUUCAGUAGUUUAGUUGGGCAUAAUUGUAACAUUGUUGACUGUUGUUUGAACUAUUUUAGGCCGAAAAUGUUUUAGAGGCUCUGUGGAAAAAUGAGGCACGGCUCUGCAUGCUGAUAUGUGAUAUACAGCAGAAAAGUUUAACUGUAUGUAGAAGGGAAAAAGGCUACCAGAUGUUUUUUCUCAGGGCUCUUCUUGUCCCACCAAGCAAGUUCCGCCCGCCGGCUGGGAGUUCUACCCGUGGGGUAAGCAGAUCUGAUCAAUCAUUGGUGUGACCCUAAUGAUUAUACUUAAGGAGAAAAGUGGCUUAUGUGUUAUCUGCCAAUUUAGAUGAUGAAGUUUCUGACCUUUGACGUCAGUUUCAGUUUCCCCAGAGUUGCUAUUAUAACAAUUUAGCUCUGAAGUUUGACAUUGAUUGUAAUUUGAUCCUUAAAAUCUCGAUUCGGCCCUCAAGUUUGACCUUGAUUUCAAUUUCUUCCCUAAAUUUCAUCCUCAAAAUUUCAAUUUAAUGAGAAAAAUCUAACGAAGGUGUUGACAUGACACUUUUAUAAAUAGUAAGCUAAAAAAAGGCAUUAUCAUUCUGCAGAGUAAACUUCAGGGGUCAAAUUGCUAGACUUGAAACUAUUAGGAUGAAUUUGAAUUUCUGGUCAAACUUUAGGGAGCAAAUUGUAACCUUUUGUAUAUUCAUUAUGCCUUUAUUGCGGGGGGCCUUUUUUUUGUCCUCCCUCCCCUUUCCAUAAUGCUCUCUCUGGUAGAAGCAAGAACUAUUCUUUUUAAGUUUAUAUGCUUCUUCUCUUGUACUAGUCUAACUUUUCCUACAUUUUGACACUGAAAUUUAACUAACCUAUUCUACUGUUUUUAGGUUUUAGAACAUCCACAAAAUGUAUUAUUAAGUAAAGUUCAAGAGUCUAACAUUGCUUUGCGGAAUCUAAUUGCGCUUGAUCCCAAUCAUCCUGAUGUCUCAAAGAGAUGGAUGGAUCUUCAAAGAAGCGUGAAUGUGCUGUUUGAUAGUAGUAAGGGCUCCGGUAUGUAUUACUAUUCGUCUCUCUUUCUACCAUUGUUGCUAGAUAGACAUUGUUAAAUUAAAGUAUGACAAAGCUAGUUUGUUUCGUUGAUAUGGUUUCAUAGACCGUUAUAAGGGCACUGUUGGUUGUUUUUACCUUUUUAUUUGCUCAAUCCUGGUGCAUUUUGCUUCUCAUGCUCUGAAAUCUGAAUAUUCGACUUCAAGUCUUUAAUUUUGUGGCUAUCUCCUCCAACUAAUCGCUGCUUUUUUGGUUGAUUGGAGACUGACAAUGUCGUGAAUAUCUGUAAUUCUUAGAGCCAAAUUGGAUCCAAUCGUGUGGUGAAACUCUUAUCUACUUGGCCUUUAACUUGCAAUAGGUGGGUUCAAAACUUCAAACAUAUUAAGGCCGAUGGGCAUGACACAGCACUGUGGGGCCUGCCAAAGUCAGCACUGUGGGGCAUGACACAUUGGCAUGGGUUUUUUUAAAAUUUUUUAUGAAAAAUUAGCUUUUUAAAUUGUUUUAAUAUUUCUUAUGGCUAUCGAAAUAGCUCAACUGUUUUCUGUCUCACACAAUUUAGUAAGAAUAGAGUCACAAAGAUCUUAAUAAGUGAAAAAAAAUCUUAUAUAUUUUAUAAAACAUACGUAUGAAAACAAAACUUAAAAGUUAUAAUUAAAUAAAAUUUAUAGAAAAACGCCACCAUAGUUAAAUUCAGUACAUCUAAAAUAAUUAAAAAAUUGAGGGAGAUCUUAUAAUUCUUAUUUUUUCACUAGAAGAUGGUCUCAUUAUGCAUCUGAGUUCACUAAUUUCAUUAUGCAUCUGAGUUCACUAAUUGCAUGAAUAUUAAUAGAUUUACAAGAUCUAUAUAUUUCAAGCAUGGAAAAACCUUUGUAAAACUUUUUUAUCUCAAAAGCACACGAAAAGCACCAAAAGCCAAAAAAAUUGUCGAUAUGGUAUCGGCACGGCCCCGUGCGUUGCCAGGGUAUAACAUGGGUGGAUUGGGGUGACAUGGGCAGCAUGGGAAAUCCUUGUUAAGGCCCUUUAGGAAUGUGAUGGCCACUCACACUACUUUGAUGCUUUAGAGGAUAGUGGGAACUCUUACCAUAGAAAUAUCGACCAGGUGCUUCUCCGUUGGCUGUUCCCGUCACCAUUUUAAAUUAAAGUACAACUACCUACUUGCAUUCUGUUCUCUAUUCUCAUGUUCUGGACAGAUAUGAAUCUUGUAGAUCAACUGAAAUAGAGAGAACUAAGUGAUAGAUAAGCACAUAUUUGCAAUGAAAAUCCUUGAAUAUCAACUCCUCCAAAUUCUACGUUUACUUUAGUUGUGAAUAUUUUCGUAUUGUCAUUUUUGGUUAACACUUUUAGAUGGGCUAAAUUAAGGUUCUAAGAUGAAUUAAUUUCUACAAAAUCUAUACUAUUAUCAGUUCCAAUUAUGAUUCUCUCAACACAUUAUGGAUAAUUUUCCACGCAUAUAUUACUAUUUAUUCUUGGGUUUCAUAGUACAUCUUGUUUUUCCUAUCUCAUUUUUAGUGUUUAACACUUUUCCUUUUUACAUCUCAAGGAUUGUCGUGCUGUUUGAAUCAAGGUUUAAAGUGCCGUGGCACGGGGGCGUGUCGUUAUGUCCCUGGCAUGGUACGGCACAGGCACGCUUGCGUGCCGACACGUGGCACGCUUGCGUGCCGAUAGAUACGUAUGACCUCCUACUGGCACGCUUUGGCACGGAUUUAUUUCAGUUUUUUUGGUUCUAAUAAACUCUUAUAAUGUUAUUUUGAAAUAUUUAAAUAAAUAAUGAUGAAUAUUUACUAUAUAUAUCUUACUAUACUCAUUAAUUAACAUGCAUGUAAGCUUUUUGUAAGUAAAAUACAACUAUACCUGAUGUAGAAUAGAAAUUAAAAUACAAUAAUAAAAUUCACAAGUAUAAUAAUUAUUUAAAUUUACAUCUUUAUAUAGAGAUGACUGCUUAAUUCGACAUAGAUCGUCGCGUUUGAUCAUAUGGCAUAUUGUCAUAUGAAGAUACAAGAUUUAUUUGACAAUAUUGAUAUAAAUAUUGUUGGUAUUGUGAGAAAGUCAUAUAUUCCCGAUAUUAUAUCCAUAUUUUUUUGUUCUUUUUAAAAAUAUCUUAUCAAAAUUUGUUUAGGAGAUCGAUUUUUGUUCUCUUGAUUCACCGAAAGCAUCGCGGUCCGAGACCCCCCCCUGUACCGUGCCCCCUUCUUGGGGACACGGUACGGCACGACCCCGUGCCGCCCGGCACGGGCGGCACUUAAAACCUUGGUUUGAAUGACCCGUGCCACUGUGCUGUGAUCUGCUAGCUGCACCACACCGCACAACGGCAUAGGGCAUGCCAAUGUCGGUAGACUCUCCUUUCCGGCAGCAUGCCACUGGCACAUGUGCACGCAUUGGCAUGAUUUUUUUAAUUAAAAUUUUAUGGGAAAUUAGUUUUUGGAGUGUUUUAAUUUCUCUAAAGGCUAUAAAAAUAAUUUAUGUAUUAAAACUCACAAAAUAGAGUCAUAAAUCAUCUUAAUCACUAAAAAAUUAUUAUUUUAUAUGUAUUAUGAAAGUAUAUGUAUGAAACCAAAACCAAAAUCAUAUUUGGAUAAAAAUUUAUAGAAAAACGUUACCAUGGAUAAAAUCACUAGAUCUAAAAUGGUAAAGAAAUUGGAAGAAAUCUUUUUAUUUAUAUUUUUUCAUUUAAAGUUGGUCCUACAAUGCAGUAGAACUUACUAAUUGCUCAAAAAGUUAGUAGAUUUACAAGAUCUACAUAUUAUAAGUAUGAAAAAGCUUUUGUAGAACUUUGUUCCUCAACAAAGUUCAAAAAAAGGUCAAAAAAUGGACGAAAAAUUCAUUUUGUUGAUAAGGUGUCGGCACGACCCCAUACCCUGUGCCGACACCUCCUUGACACUCUACAACAUGGGCAGCAUGGGGCGGCAUAGGCAGCACGGGCAAUCCUUGCAUCUCAUUUAGUUUUAGUGUGAAAGUUUAUCUUUUUCUAGUCCUGAAAUAAGUUAUUGAGCUUUUCUUCUAAUGUGUAAUAGAAUGUUUAUGUUGAUGACAGUCAAAAGUGAGAAGGAGACUAGUGGUAUACGUCAGUUAUUAGAGAAGAAGCAAGGAAUACUUCGACAGAAAAUGAUGGGAAAGAGAGUUAAUUUUGCAUGCCGGUCGGUCAUAUCUCCUGAUCCAUACUUGGCAGUCAAUGAAAUAGGAAUUCCUCCAUAUUUUGCUUUGAGAUUGACAUAUCCUGAGGUAACCUCCUGAUUCGAUGACAUCAAAGUAGUUUGUUCUUUGACCUAAUUAAAUCAGGCAAAAAUUUAAGCACUCACAACUAUGGUGUAUGCUUUGUUGUCAUUUUAGUGUACUUGUUAUUAUAUAACUCACAGAAAUACAUUCUCAGAAGUGUGCAUGAUGCAUCAAAGUUGAUUUUGUUGCUUGUUUAUUUGGGAUUUGCAUGUGUUUGUACAAAUUUAUUUAUUUACAAUAUACCUAUAUCUCAUCCAAAUUUCCAUAUGUACCCUUGAAAGUGCAGUUUUUUUUUUUGGAAAAACUUCAAAUACUACCCCUAUGGUUCAGCGUAUUCUCACUUUAGUACCUUGUGGUUUAAAUUGUUUCACUUUAGUACCUUGUGAUUUUGUUUUUCUUUUUUCAUUAACCCCUCCGUUAAUUUUUUCGUUAAAUCAAUGAGAAAGUUAAAACUACAGGAUGCUAAAGUAAAUUUUUUUUAAACCAUAGGAUACUAAAGUAAAUAUUCAAUAAUCCACACGGGGUAUCUGAAGUUUUUUUUUUUCUAUAUGUUUUAAUGGAGAGUUAACAUAGGGGAUAACGGAAGGAGAAAAACGAAACCACAGGGUACUAAAGUGAGAAAGCGCUAAAUCACAGGGGGGAUAUUUGAAGUUUGUCCCUUUUUUUUUAAACAAAAAAUUGCCCUUAACCUCUGGAGUUCACCAAAAUUCCUUCAAUUUUGGGAAUCAUCAAACUCAUAGCUGGAAGAGGAAAAGAAAAGAAGAGAGGGGGGGAGGGGGGAGUGGAUUGUUGAUUUUUUGAGGAAGAGCUUUUUGAAAGCGAAAGGGCACAAGUUUUAAAGCUGAAUGCUGAAACAUGUAUGUGAAUACAUAAUUGUAGAUGAACACACACACACACACACAUAUGUAGAGGGAGAGAUGGAGGGAGGCUUGUGUACUACGCUAGCAUGGAGCCCUUCAUGCUAUCAAGUUGUUUUCGAUGAUGGGAUAUUCAAAUCGACGAUUGGCUUUGUUAGUAUCAAAAAACCAAAUAUCAUAUUUUUUUCAACAUCAUUUGACUAGUGAUCAAAAGGCCCCAAAAUUGACAAUUUUAAUAACCGAUGUGAUGCAUCUCUAAGUUUGAUGGUGUAGAACAAUUCAAAUCUAGUGAAAUUUUGAUAGAAAUUUUUUUCACUAUUUAGAGCAAGAACACUACCUUCGAUAUGAAAUUAAGUCUUUUAUCAUUAUUUUUUAUGAGAUUUCUCUUUUUAGCCGUUUAUUUUCAGACUAUCCUAGCCGAGUUGUGUAUGUAUAUGUAUAUGUGUAUGUGUAUGUGUGUCUGUGUAUAUAUGAAUGCACUAUAUAUAUAGUAGGACUAGUGUCUAGGAGCAUGGAGGCCUUCGUGCUACUAAGCCAUUUUCGAUAAUGAAACUUCCGAAUCGACGAUCGACUCCGUUAGAUUUGAUCUAGCGUAUUUGAAGUAUCUAGAAGAUAAAUUUUGUGGUUUUCUGAUAUCAUUUAUCUAGUGAUUGAAAAGACUCAAAAUCAACAGUUGAAAAUAAAAAUCUAACAAAAAGUUAUGAUAUAGCAUUAAAAUUUUCGGUUUUUGCUAUAGAUAGUAUAAAUAUUUUUUGUCAAAAUUUCAUUUGAUUUGAAUACUUCUAUAUCAUUAAACUUGCAAACGGCAUAUAUCAACCAUUAAAAAUUUGAACCCUUUCGAUCAUUAGGUAAAUGAUACUGAAAAAGCCCAAUUUAUUUUCUAGAAGCUUUAAAUACGUUAGAUCAAGUCUAACGGAGUUGAUCGUCGAUUCGGAAAUUCCAUCAUCGAAAACGGCUUAGCAGUACAGAGGCUUCCGUGGUUCUAAUAGCAUACAAGUCCUACUCUAUAUGUAUACACACACAUAUAUGUAUGUGUGACUGUGUGUAUUAUAUAUAUAUAUAUAUAUAUAUAUAUAUAUAUAUAUAUAUAUAUAGGGUUGAGUGCAUACAGGUCCCUGCAAACAUAGUCAAUUGCGGAAAUAUCCCUGCAAAACGGAAACUCCAUAAGUUGUCCCUGCAAAAGUCUAAAGUUAUGCAGAUAUGUCCCUCUGAUUAACAUCUGUUAGAGAACUGUUUAUUUUUUAACAGUUUUCAUGUGAAAUGACCAUUUUGCCCUCACAAAUAUAUCCAUCCAAAAGCAUCUUCCCCCUCUCUUUCUCUUCCUCUUCCUCUUCGGGCCGCCGGAGCAGAUGGCGGCGACGGCGCGGGUCGAGCUCGCCGGCGAUGAAGAAGGGGGAAGAGAAAGAAUGAGAGGAAGAAAAAAAGGGAAGAGGAAGAAGGAGAGGAAGAGGGAGAGAAAGAGGGAAGAGAAAGAUGAAGAGGGAAAGGGUUCGUCGCCCGGCAGCGCGGGGCGCGCCGCCGGCAUUUCCUCCUUGCCGCGACGAAGAAGAGGGAAAAGAGAAGAGAAGAGGAAAGGAAAAGAAGAGGAAGAGAAAGAAGAAUGAGGGAGGAGGGAUUCGCCAUGCCGCGUCGGAUCUUCUCCCUCGCCGGCGAUGAAGAGAGGGAAGAGGAAAAGGAAGAGGAAAAGAAGGAGAAAAGGGAAGGGAGAGGAAGAAGGAGGAAAAAAAGAGAGAGUUCGUCGUCGCGGCCGCGGCGUCGUGCCCAGGUGCCGCGCUGCCGCGCCGCUCGCGCGGCACGAAGAAAGGCGAAGAAGAAGAGGGGGAAGAAGAAGAAGGGUAGAAUCGUAAAUUUACUUUAAAUUAACCAUAGGUUAAGUACUUUAACCAUGGUAACGAAAUUUUCUAACAGCCUUAACGGCAGGGACAUAUCUGCAUAACUUUAGACUUUUGCAGGGAUAACUUAUGGGAUUUCCGUUUUGCAGGGAAUUUCUGCAAUGCACUAUGUUUGUAGGGACGUGUAUGCAAAUAACCCAUAUAUAUAUAUAUAUAUAUAUAUAUAUAUAUAUAUAUAUAUGAGUAAGGCUACUAUGCUAUCGGAAGCACGGAGCCUUCCGUGCUUCCAACUCAUUUUCGAUAUUGCGACUUUCGAAUCGUCGAUCAACUCCUUUAAACUUGAUCUAGAGUAUUUGAAGUACCUAGAAAAUAAAUUAUGCAAUUUUUCGAUAUUCUGAAAAUAAAAAUCUUACAAAACGUGAUAAUAUGACAUUAAAAUUUUAGAUUAAAGAUAUUGAUCUUGUUUUAUAUAGUAUAAAGAAUUUUCUUUCAAAAUUUCACGUGAUUUGGAUAUUUCUACACUGUUAAACUUCCAAAUGGCUCACUACGGCCAUUAAAAUUAUUGAUUUUGAGCCCCUUCGAUCACUAGGCAAAUGAUAUUGAAAAAUCAUAAAAUUUAUUUUCUAGGUACUUCANGUAUAUAUAUGCAUGUAUAUAGGAGAUAUAUAUAUAUAUAUAUAUAUAUAUAUAUAUAUAUAUAGCGUAAGCUUAGACCGAAUCAGAUCAUCAAAAAGAGAGGAAAACUAACUCUUUACAUGCCAAUCAUACUACACCGGGGGAUCCCAACUCACCCACAACCAAUAAUUAUACCAAUUCACUUCAACGAUUCAAAUUUAAAAUGCCACUUGCACCUAUUUAAAUAUAUUAGUUGAUAAUCAAAUUUGUGACUUGUCAACCACGCUAAUCUUUAAAUUGGGAACGUUCUAUUGGCUGCCAAUUUACUACACCUGCGAGAUCAACUCACAGAAGAACUUUCAUAUUUCAUAGUUUUCAUUAGUUUGACAAAUUAGAACACCACUAUAUGAACUAGUGGUUCACGAACACGUAGAUUUUCGUAGUAUAGAGUAUAUGAAAUACAUACACAUAUGUAUAUAUACACACACGUAUAUAUACAUAAAUAUAUAUACACAUAUCAGAUACAUAGAUAUAUAUGAUACCCAAUAAACGUAUGUGCAGGCAUCGCUGUAUCACGUAAAGUCUGUACAAGGACAUGUUGCCUCUGAGGUAUUCAAUACAGAACAAACCAGACUUCAAAACAAAAAUACAGGAACGGAAGAUUCCUUGACAAUCACGUAAAAGUCAAUUACCUAACAUACAUCAUAAAUGUAGACACCCAGAUAAACAGUCCAUUUAAAUGCUAAGAUCGGAGAAAAGAGAGAAAAGGGAGAAGAAGAAGGGAGAAGAAGCAGCGGCCCAUACCGCCUGACUGAACUUGAUCGAAGCCGUCUGCCCCCGCAGCUGCCGGCAGCUGCUGCGAGGCAGAGCAGUUUAAAGAAAACGAGCAAUGAAGUGAGUUAGGCUUAGAAGGGAAAAGAGCCGGAAGAAGAAGGACGAAGGAAAAGCAGAAGGGAGAAGAACCUAUGUCGUAGCCCCGCGCCGCUUCUAGGUCCUUGCCUUGCCAAACACUUUAGGGAGAGCAUGAUUCGAGGCACAAGAAGAAGCGAUGAAGGACAAAGAUAAGACGUGAGAAGGAGAAGGAAAAGGAAAACGGGCAUUUGAAAAAGCCCGAGCGGCCCGUCCCUCCUGUUACGCCGCAGAAACGCGCCCCUGGCCACGGUCAAAGGGUAUGUAACUAGAAAGAGAAGCGAAAAAGAGAGGGAGAAGGAGAGGAACAAACAGAAGGGAAAAAACAGAACGAUGAGAAAGAAAAAGAAGGGGGAAGAAGGAGCGUGAAACCGCUAAGAACUCGAGAAGCCGACAGCGUGCCGUAGACGAGGACGCCGAGCUACUCCUUAUACUUCUAGUUAACCUCACCAUUCUAAGAAAACCUACCUAAAUAAACACUCCCGUAAUACCACGCAAAGUAUAAAUCAGACAAUUCAAGACGGGUCAAGAGAUUGUCUAAAACUAGGAGCCCAAUAUAGACGUAGUUAGAUAGAUCAGAAGUAACGUCCCAAGUUGAAGUACCUAUCUAAAAGCAAACACGGACUCUACAAAGGCGAUACAAAGAUACAAACGCUCAAAGGUAAAAUACGUGAGUUGGAAUAUAUAUAUACUCUCGACUGUACCGUACUAAACCUAUCGUCUGUAAUGCCUGAGUCCAAAUGUUCCUCGUUCGAAGUCCUAAUUUGACUGAUUUAAAAAAUCCCUUUUGAAGUUUUUGGGAGGGACACCAAAGCAUGAAAAAGUAAAAUCAUGGGACACCAAAUUUCACAUAGUUCAAUCAUGAGACACCAAAGCGUGAAAGAGUGAAAUCAUGGAACACCAAAUUACACAUAGUUCAAUCAUGAGAUACCAAAAUAAAAACAUAGUUCAAUCAUGAGAUACCAAAAUAAAAACAUAGUUCAAUCAUGGGACACCAAAAAUUUGGUAUCCCAUGAUUUCACUCUUUCACGCUUUGGUGCCCUAUGAUUGAACUAUGUGAAAUUUGGGUCUCAUGAUUUCACUCUUUCACGUUUUGGUGUCCCAUGAUUAAACUAUGUAAAAUUUGGUGUCCCAUGAUUUCACUCUUUAUCACUUUGGUGUUCCCCCCAAAAACUUCAAAAGGGUUAAAAAAUAGUUUGAAAUCCCUGUUUAAAAAAUAAUUGGGCACCUUGAUAAAUACGACUCUUUAUUUCCAAAGUAUAGUUCGAGAAGUGUUCCUUUAAAAUGAUUAUAUUUAGUUGAGGACUUUGAUAUACUCUGUCCUUUUAGGUCUUAAACUUUAGAAUAUUUAAUACAAAGACGUGUCUGUAUCCCAAUUUAAUUUUUUUUUAUCGUUUAAUCUAAUUAGGAAUGAACAGAAGAGGUGGUCACGUUUAGUUGGUAAAUCUACCGUUGUAGAGUUUGCUUAUAUAAAAACCAGGUACUUGACGUCGGCAUUUACGAAAGGCGUAACAGGAGUUCAGCUAGUGACACUGAACUUUAGGUCUUCGUUAUAUCGUCUCCCUGAGCAUUGUAAAGUAUCGUUAUCCACUUGGUCUUUCCCUUCAUGAGGGAUGUGUACUACUGCUUGAUCUUCUACUGCUGCGUCGCCACAGGGUCUGAGCCUGGAUUUUAACCGUCGUAUUUAAUCUUUUAUUUUAUAAUAUUUCUUGAACGUUUUUUGUAACUUAAUCACAUUCAGGUUGGAAUCUUUGACUUUUGCAACUAUAGAAACGGGUUGGUUUAAUUGUACUUCAUGUGAUGUUCAUGUGUCUUCUACCUUACACGUUAGUAAAUGGAAACUUAGAAAUCUCUACGACUGGUUUUCUCUUCGAAAUACGGACUUUUUUCUUUUUCCUUCCUUCUAAGUUUUCUUCAUAUUAUCAUAGAAUGUGUAAUUGUUUAAUCAUAUAGGUUGUUUUCUAAGCCCUUUAGAGAACCCCUGCGUUUUAAUAAUAAAUAUCUCAUUAACCAAAAUCUUUCGUGAGAUCAACAAGCAUUUCUUUUAAAAUGGUGUCUAAACUCUCAGGAUUAGGGCGACGUAUGAAGUAAUGUCUUUAUUAUGUUUUCUACACGUUUCUUUUCUAAAACACCAUUCUAAAGAAACAUCCAACAAGAGUUAGGUAAUUUACCUUUUACGUUGUCGUUUCGUGUACUGUAGGUUAUGAGAACGGUUUUAUAUCUCUAAAAGAUACGAGUCGUGUCAGUCAGAAUACACUCUGUUCUCCUUCGUUUUUUAUCUCUCUCUCUCUCUCUCUCUCUCUCUCUCUCUCUCUCUCUCUCUCUCUUCCUUUUCUUUUGAUACAAAAAAUUACCUUUCUCUUUGGUAUGGUUCGUUGCCUCUCUUUACUGUUUCCAAAGAGCACAGGUACUACCCAAUUACAAUCUCCUACUUAAAAAGGUGAACUUCAUUCUCUGGUUUCCGCCUAUCACGUUAGAAGACGAGGUGACCGUUCAUGAAAACUGGACGGUAGCGGUUCGUUAAACAGACUCUCUCGUCAUUGCCCGGGUAAUACUGGAAAUUUUGUCGCCACUCUAGCUGGGACGUAGUUUCGUGUGGCUACAAGUACGUUUGAUGAUGAAUUCCAUCUCGUUUAAUAAGUGUUAUUUCUUUCGGGACCCUGUACUCCUACGUUAGUUGUUACUCACUGUUAUUACUAUUUAAGUUUAUUUAGAGGGGUUAGUAGUGCUGGUGGAUAGCUAAAAGUCUCACAACGUGUAGUAUUUUUCGUCUGAAAUUGAUGAGAAAAAAGUAGAGAAUCCCUGACUUGACUUUACUACAGUAGUAGUUCUCUCUAUCGUUCUCUUAUAGAUACUUUUUCUAAUGGUUAAUUCCUCUUUCUCGAGAAUUACCCUCAUGGAAGGUGGUUUCUGCUUAUCAAGACAGACUCGAACUUCAAUGGUUUUGUAAAAGCAGUAAAACACGAAGUAAAGCUUUGUCGCUGCAUAAUUAAUAACCCUUGUUAGAUAGCUUUUUUUAUGUUGACAGUCUUCACGUAGCUUGUUCUUUCCUCUUGUUUUGUUUGUCCUUAUCCGUUUCUCUACGUCGGAAAGAAAAUGUCAAUUAGGUGUCAUCUAGUAGUCGUGUGACAGAUCAGAAGUCAUUUGACCGGGGUUCCACAGUAUUCCUUGUCCUUCCUAUAUACUUCAGUUUGAUUCCUUCUUUUUAAGUUUAACCAUGGGUUGAAUGGAGUACGUCCACUAGGAACUAGGUACUAUAGAGUUUCAAAGUGUUCGGUGUCCAUCUCGUGGUCCUUCUAAGUCACAGUUGGAAACAUGUUAACUCGGGACUUGUAUUCAUUUUAUAUAGUAAAUCAAGGAACGAACACGUCUUAGUCGAAAGUUUCCGAGGCGAUAAAGUUAAACUUUUUCAAGUCGGACUGAGGGAGUGGUUCAGGUAUAAAUUAUUUGGCCUUGUCUCGGAAACCUUGGUUCACGCCGACGCGAUGGACUCGUUGCUUCUAUAGCAAGGACAGGUCGUAAUAUACCGAUCCACUAUAGCUCAUAGGUCAUUUUAUUGUAAGGUUGCCUAGUAGUUUGAAGUAAACAACAUUACGUCACACGGCGGACUACAUAACAAGAGAUUGAGGAUUUUGAGGUCUUCUGCGUGUAUAUAUACCGGUCGCGAGGGACAUGUAAGUGUCGUUUGUUGAAGUUUCACCUUUGUUACGUGUGAUUGUUUGCUUUGGUUGUCUUUUUGAACCGCAGAAAUCGAAAGAAUGAUCAGGUACUUUUCCUAGAAGAUGAUAGAAUGUAUUAGUAUAGUGUAAAGUGUAAUUUUUUUGUGUACAUAAUAAGGGUUUGACGAGUUCAGAAAGUCUUUACGUACUAAAAUAAUAGAUGAUUGGUUAAACAAUACGAAGCAAGGAGGAUGUUGUAGAUUUUAAUACAUAGCUAGGGUACAAGCUGAUAUAGAUACGACGGUUUUAAUUUGAGGUCCCCGACAAACCGGGAUGACAUUUCAUAUGACGGCAACCUACUUCACUUAAAUAAAGUCUUUUUAGUGAUAUGAUUUUAACGAAACUGUCUAAGAGAGUUGUCGUCCGCAUCUUUAUUUUUUAACUUCGGCGACAAUGUUCUAAAGUAUAAGAGUAAAGACUAGGGACGACGUCGUUUUAGUGGUUUGCAAGAGAGACGGUUCGCGAGAUGACUUACGAUGAGAACGAUUUUUUGUCUUCGUCUUCGUCCCGCUUUAUCCGUGUAGUAUAACUUGUUGUGUAAUGACAUAGUUGGUAAAGUAGAGACACACACGCCCGCGCACGCACGCACGCACGCACGCACACACACACCCUCUCUCUCUCUCUCUCUCUCUCUCUCUCUCUCUCUCUCUCUCUCUCUACCAUGCACUUCUCCGCCCUGGUUUGCCUUAGCCUCAUCCGCCGCCGCGCCUCUCCGAACCUGCGGUACCGGUACCGCCGCUGCAGCGCCCCCGGUUCCUCCGCCCGCGUCACCCGCUCCCGCAGCCGCAGCUCCAGGAGGUCCCAAGAAGGUGCGGGGCGGUAGCGCUGGCCGUGGCCGUGGCCGUGGCCGUGGCCUCCUCCUCCUCUGGGUAGGCGGUACCGGCAUAUGCUUCGGGAUCCCUAGCUAGCGUAAGGUGGGGGUUAACUUCCCCUUCGGCGCUUCUUCCUCUACUUUACUAAAAACGUGGAACAAGACAUGGAAGAGGUAAAGCCCUUCUUUAUUAUAGGACCUGGUGCAGGUAGUGGAAAUACGCAUCUGGAACAAUAAGUUCAUUAUCUAAAAAAAAAAAAGAAGAAGAUAAAAGGAAGUAUCUUCCUUUCAUCAUCCACCAGAUAUAGGUUCCACCAUUUGGUCCAAGCUCGUCACUCCGCCUUCACAUUGCGCGGAACACAGCUGCCUGUGCAUGUUUAGCUUAUCACCCCGAGGCUGGUCCAAACCAAUUUUAGGCUAAGAUCGAGUUAGCCCGGCAUGUACCCAGCAAUACCCAUAACCUUAACCUGCCGGGUGCUAGUUUAGGUCAGUAACUACGGAAGGAUCUAUUACCCGACAUUUGGCUAGAAGGCGGGUUUGAAAACUUUAUUUAGACUGUGAACGGGUCUUAGGUCUUCGGCCAGUAGACAGCCGGAAGUAAAACCGGAUUGAAGACUAACGGUUAUUAUACACCUUCUAUAUUUAUGACAUACUAUGUAGAUGUAUUUAAACUAAAUGUAGAAGUACGGAGGCUAUUAUUCCGAACCUAGUAACUUACUGCGUACUGGUUGCACAACAUAGUUUGUUGUGCAGACUCGUUAUUUGAGAGCUCUUUUUUCUACUGUAAUACCUACCCAAGAACGCCCGGAAACGAUAGAAGUGGUUGCUACAAUUUAAGUAAAGUAGAAUUAAUUAUUUGUUUUUUCUAUCAAACGAUAGACCAAUAAAUUUAAAGAGUACUCAAGUUUUACGCUUAACAAUCAUUAGAAAUAUCGUGACCUACACCUCGAUAUUACCAACGUCCGUCUUCUUAGGUAUAUCCUCUCCUUUAUCUGGUAGCGUGUUCCACGAACGGGUACAAACGAAGACCGGGUUCAACGACCACGUGAAGUAGCCAGUUUAGGUUCGGUGGUUGUAUGUAAUUUUAGUGGUUUUUAACUGGGCUUAGCUGUUGAAAGGGCUUAUGCUGGGCCAAUUGGCUAAUCGGGAGAGCUAGUUUAGAGUGGGCGGGUGGUUUAGACAGCAUGGUUUUAGUUUGUUAUGACCUGUAGUACACUAGUCUAGUCGCAAUGAAUUAAUAUAUGAGCGCUCUCCCCUCCUCUGUUUUGUAAAAAUUGCUUCGAGUGAGAAUGAGAGAGAGGCAAGAGUAAGGAAGAGAGAGAGAGCGCCUCCCCUUGCUUCGCCGCCGCCGCCUCUACCGCUACCGCCUCCCGCCGCCGCCGCUGACCCGGUGAGGCGGCGACCUCCACAACGACAGCUAUCCCAACCUAUUCGCGUGCCGCCUCUUGCGGGAGCAGUUGGUGCUCGAGUGGAGGUUGGAGUAGCGGUAGUAGUUGCUCCACACACAAAUGACAGUCUAGGAUCUUAGGACACGAAAUCUAAGCCAUAUGAGGUGCCGCACCAAGAGGUAAGCUAAGUACCUCGAGUUAAUCAUAAAGAGUGCGUAAGAUCAUGUUUUUAAUUACCAGACUUAUGCUUUAAAGCAAGCCCAACAACGACAGUCUAAUAGUCUAAAAGGAAAAGAAAAAAAGAAAGACGUGACAUUUAACACUACUACUCACAAUUGCCGAACAGCAUAGAGGUAGUCCGACCACAAUCACCUACGUCGUUUAGUUAGCCAUUAGAAGAGAUGUACCAUAAGGUCUAAUAAAGCGCUCACUUGAUAGCUAUUCUACUCAACUUAAAAUUGCCCAGAACAUUUUAAGUGAAGAGAAAGACUACAUAAUAAUCCAACGCUGUUUCACGGGCUGCUUACGCGAGCCGGGAGCAGGAAAAGAUUAGUCUAUAUAACAGAGUAGUUUCCAUUAAAGCUUGUAAAUCCAUGUAAUCAAUUAGCUCGUAAUCAAUAACACAUAACUAAACGUCGUCGAAACCAUUACCUUUCAGGACCUUGUCAAUCAAUCUCCGACGUCUAGAUUAUACGGAAAUCAAACUGAAGAAAGUACCUACGAGACUUCUUUGGGGACAAAGAGUAAAAACGAGAACAAAGCGUCUAGUUCUUAAGUUGUGUCAAUCUACGACGAGACAGUAAAGAAAGAUUACGACCGAACCUUAGAAAGCUCAACCUAUUUAAACUUCUUCGAACACCACACGCAUGCGAGUAAUCAAUAAAGAAUAUUGACAAAAUGAACAUACGAUUACUAUGUGCCAUAUCAACCCACUAAUUUAACAGCUUCUUCCUAGUAGUGGGACACGCUGAAAAUCGGACUUGUGUCUCAUCACGUAUUGGCUAACUAAAACGUUCUCUUGACAAUUUUCAAUUUUGAAGAAACUCAAGCAAAGGAUAUUUUCACAAUUUAUUGUACCAUAGACUUGAUGGCUGGCAGAGAUCUCGUUCACCGUUUUCCGAAUCACCAACCAUAGGCUCCAGGAUUCAAACUUAAGAUCAACUAAGUAUAAAGGUUGAUUCAAAUAAAAAUUUCUUUUAUUUACUUCGUCCAUCGUAUGACGGAUAGAGAUUUUUUUUUCUUUUUGUACCAUAGACUUCUAAGACUUGAAGAAGAUUGAGAUUCUGGACAGCCAAAGUACUUCCGUACCGAAUCUAAGGGACAUUGACUAUAAAUUGUACAGUCCAAACAUUACGCGUACCAAGUCUACUAAGGUUGGUACGUGUACUAGUCCCCACGAUUCUGGUACGGACUCCACUAAGGAUACUCUAGGCAGGAAAACCAAAAUCCGGAAAAUAACUACGAUUGUAAAAUUUAUACAAACACAAUAAAGUAAAUCGUUAUCGUACGACAAAAACGACACAUGAACCUCAUGUACAAAGGGAACUUCUUUAAGUUAGUCGACAAAGAAACCAGGAGCUUCUUUUAUACGUACGGUAAAACCUCAACGCAAUGGCAUAUUUACCAAUUAAAAGAGAGGAAAAAGUGAAGGACUACUAUCUAUAAAAGAACAACGGUUUUACAAAAAAUAAAACAACUUGUUCAGUUAAUUAAAAAUACAUAUACAAUCCUCGAAACGACACGUUUUGGACGAUAUAGAUCUAAAUAAGAUAAUGAUCUAAACCCGUUAUAUACUUAAACCCUAAGGUAAUAGUGUAAAAUUGAUUUUUUUUAUUUAAGGUGGAAAGAUAAGAAAAUUUGACACACACGUCUCUUUAAAAUUUUCAUUUGAAGAACUCAGAAGUGUUUCUUUUCACUUGUAGAAUCACAGUACGGGUUCCGGGAAAAACAUUUCGGUAAAAUCCUAUUCCACAUCAAACUUUUAAAAUUUUCAUUUGAAUAAAGAACAAAUAAACCAGUCAACCGUCGAAUACACCUGUCCAAUCUUAUGCAGUAGGAACGCCACUACGAUUUGAACAGUUCCACGUCUCACUAACACAUGUCCCGAUCUUAGUGGAACAAGUUGCACUACAUAAAGUAUAAUAUGCGAACAGAGAGAACACUGCCCUUCAUUACCUAUUCCUCGAAAGAUCUUAUAACCGAAUUUCUUGUCUGCGACUACUUUUUUCGGAGGGUUUUUCUUCCUUUUUGUACAUUUUCAACUUCAUGCAAUACCUUUUAGGAAGAUUUUUCCUAAUCAAACAAAUUAGAAUAUCAGCGAUAAACACUUAUAUAGAUGAAAAUCCUGGUCUUCUCUCGAUGGAGACGUGACGAGAGACUCCUCCUUUACUUAGGUAAAAGAUAUAAAGACGUCGGUCUCCUUUUGAGGUUCCACGAAGAUUGUAGUGAAUUCGAAGAACACGUCCAAUAUCGUGAAAAACAGAUAAGUUUAUCAUUAAAUUCGAGGGAAAGACAAAUGUAAAAAGACGACGAGUCAAAAUUUCUCUCGAAUUUAAUGGUAGAUAGUUCCAAAUAUGUUGAGUUAUUAUAUAAGUUAACUUUUAAUUCCUGUAAAGUUCCAGAAAUAAUGAUAGUUCGUUGAAGUUAAUAACGGCUAGGUAAGACCUGAAGGUCAUAACCCUUCAGACAAGAGUACAAUAUUAGUCGAGUUCAUCAAAUUAGAAGAAAACAGUUAAAGACUCCAAGUGUGUCUAUAUUAAAAGUCACUACCUUAUUAUACCUCCCGGGUGUUAUGUUUCCUUUACGAUCCGUCCGUAGAGCUGUCAAAUCCCGGCCGAUUAAACCAUACGCGUACUGGAAUACUGAUACCAAGAUAAAUACGGGUAAUAUUCAUCUUACUACGUAGACUUAUUCUUGAUCCGCGUUUAUUUUAAAUGUAUUGAAACGAAACUGUAAAAGGGUUCAUUACAAAAAUUGACCCCUGAAAGGAUAGAGAAAUAUUUUCUCUCUUUAGAAAAAAAAUAAAAACUUUCCUUACAUAUCGCAUAAAAGAUAUGCAAAGUAAUUUACAUUAUUCUCAAUGUACAUUUUGUUUAUAUUUAAUAUUAACGACCCCGACUCAUACGGGCGUCGUUAUUAACUAGGAAGUUUAACUUGGGGGUCAAUGUUUUUAAACUUGGUGUAAUCACGUAGUAACACUUUAGAUAAACCUCGACAAGAGAUGACCCAUAUCAUUGUUUCUAAAACCGAACAUGUAAAAGACCAUAAGAAUAGGAAGUAAACUGGGAGUGUUCCCCCUUACCCCCUAUACCAAAACACGACGAUGAAAACUACGUAAAAACGACAAUCCAAUCUACUAUGGUUGAGACUUCUACUUUUCUAUCUUAUUUAACUCGCAUACUUCCUUUAGUAGGUUACCUACCUAACCGUCGGUAUAUUCCAAGACAUCAUCAACUCUAAACAUGAAAGCAGCCACGUAUAAAAGUGAUCGAUGGACUUAUUAAAGUAGAAUAGUCCAAUGAAUAUGGUCGCUAAUAAAAGUUCUAAAUAUACUAGAUCGACAGUUCGACUAUUUUGUUCCGGAUCGAAUACAACUAGUGGUCCAUACAAUAAGUACUAAUGUACGGUUCCUGAUGUUAAUAAUAAUUUGUUUAAUGAAUAGGACAAUCAACGACUACGUCAAAGAAUUUUAUUACUAGACUACUGAUUACAAGAAUGGUCAUGAAAAAUGGACUGGUUGUAGCCAUUCUCCUUUUAUAUUUUUUUUAUCAAAAAAAAGAAAAAAGAAAAUUCCCGCAAGUACUCUAAAUUUAAAAAAUAACUUUUAAAUAAAGAGUACUUCAGAUAAAAAUACUAUCUUAAGGACAGACUACCCUUAUAAAAUAAACCAUGUAUAGAAUCUUAUAUACUUUUAUAUAAUAGAGAUGUAACCCAAGUUGUUUCUUUAAUAGGUUGAUAUUUUAAUAGGAUUAUAAAAAAAAAAAAAUCUCUCUUUUUUACGUACUAAGAAAAGUAAACCCAAGUGUUUAAUAGUUAUAUUUAUAAUAUACAAUAAAAUAUGGUUUAAUUAACAUAUUUUUAGUGUUCAUGAACUUAUUUAAUUUAAAUAAAUUUAUAAAAUUUUAAACUCUCUAAGUAUUAAAUAGACAGAGAACAUAAUUUAAAUUUUAAACCCUUAUUCAUAUUUUAAACCUUUUAUUAUUCUAAGUUAUCAUUUUAGUUUUAAAACUUUCCGAACUAUCCACUAAGUUUUACUAAGUAUCAAAUCUAUUCAAAACAUGCAAAAAUGAUAUAAUGUUAAAAUUUACCGGUUUUUCUAAAACGUUUGAACAGUUGACUCAUCCUAUUACAAGAUGAUUGUUAAACAAUCACAUAGCUUCCAACCAUCUUCAGUUUUUUCUACAACAGAUGUCAAAGACCAACAAAGAGUCAGUUGGAUUCCAGGCUGGAGUCAAUCAGCGGAAUAUCUCAAGUGACGUAAGCUUAACCCAUUGACAGUUUUAAGUUUCGGUUAGGUUUCACGCACGCUAGUCAACGGGUAUGGUGAAGGUCUCGGUGUUUUUAUUUUGUUUUUGUAUAGUUUGGUUUGGGGUUUUCUACGGUUUAAGGUGGUUUACUAGUUUUCUCAUCCUCCAUUAUCCGUUUCACUCAAUACUACCCAAAGUUCAAAAUCCCGGCUUUUUAUCCACUUUUGACGUCAAAACUAGAUGCGUCGACGUUAACGAUAAAAGUUCAAAGUGUCUUCGAGUUCUACUCACUCAUCUCGAUGAGUUAUCGCUCUCAUCAUAUCCCACACCCUCCUCUUCUACCGACCCCCCUACUCCUCUUUUUUUUUCUUUCUCUCCCUUGCUUUCUUCCCAUCCAUAUCGAUCCCUCUACACUCCUUCUAUCUCUCUCUCUCUCUCACUCUCUUACUGUUCCCAUGGAUAUACCGUAUGUAAGGAGUCUGCUCUGCCCUUUUCCCACCCCACUCCAUUCCUCACCCUACCCCAUCCGUCUUCGACGGCCAAGUCGAUCAAGUCAGCUGAUUGGGAGUUGACGCCAGCUGACGGCCCGACUAGACUCGCCUUCAGACUUGUGUUGUUGGCCAAGGUUGCCGCGAGUUUCCAUUGAGUGGGUUAAAGUUUUAACUUCAGCCAUAAUAAACCGUUUUUUAUUUUUAGAUCUAGUUUUCAAAAUUUAAUUUAUCUACUUUCUAGUCCCCGACAUCACCUCCACCUUAAAGUAGGAGGUUCUUACACUCCGGCAUAACCUUGACUCUCCUAUUUGCUUAAGUUCUCUACUUCGCCGAAGAUCGUUUUUUAAGGAAGCCGCUAUCGUCACUGAGUGAUUAUUGGUUGCAAUACGAAGACUUAAAGAUUAUUUAUUGAAGGAAAAACUGCCACCUUAUUCCAGGAUAUAUGCGAUAUAUUUUUUAAAUUUUAUGGUGACUUUCACUCCUUCAAACAUACGAAUCAGGAUUGAGGAUUCUUCUUCCUACGAGUCUAACAUUUAUUCGAGGAGUCUUCUCUUACCCCUACUCUACUUCCUACGCAAACACGCUGUUGCUGCUGCCCUUCCGUGCUCUUCUCCAACGCCGAAACACUCCUCGUUAACUCUUCAGUUUAAUUCAACUUAUGUACUUGUCCUAAUUGCAGUAGUAAUCCCCCCUAUUACUCUUGCGGAUGUGAUCAAUGUCACCUUUUACUCAUCUUGGUACGAAGGAACCCGACUUUUAACAAACAGCGAUCAAUUAAGGAAAGGAAAAAUUUUAAAAACGGAUAAAAAUAGGAAAAAUUGGAGAAAGAGGAGAGAAUAAAAGAACAAACAAAAGUGGACCAAAAAUGGUCAGGAAACGACGGAGUCAAAAAAUCAGCUCAAGUAAUGCAUGGGAUUAUUUACUUCGAACAAUAAAGAGAGAGAGAGAGAGAGAGAGAGAGAGAGAGAGAGAGAGAGAGAGAGAGAGAUAUAUAUAUAUAUAUAUUGAUCCGACCUUUUGAUAAUUAUCGUGGUUAUUGAACCACGAUAAUUUAAAAGACGGGAAACUAAUUUUCUACACGCCAAUCCUACUAUGCCCAGGGGAUCCCAACUCACCCAACAACCAACUUAUCAUAUUAGCUUGCCUACUUUUACUAUUUUCUUCAUUUAGAUUGCCAUCUUUUGAACUAUCGUGGUUUACGAAGCACGAUAGCUAUCAUAGGGUCGGCCUGAUAUAUAUAUAUAUAUAUAUAUCUCUCUCUCUUUCUCUCUCUCUCUCUCUCUCUCUCUCUCUCUCUCUCUCUUGAUCCGAUGAUACGAUAAUUAUCCUGGUUCAGUAACCACGAUGGUUCAAAAACUGAUAACCUAAUUCUCUACACGCCAAUCCUACUACACCCGGGGUAUCCCAACUUACCCACCAACCAACUUAUCAUAUUAGAUUGCCUACUUUUACUAGUUUUCCCGUUUAGAUUGCCGCUUUUUGAACUAUCGUGGUUCACAAAGCAUGAUAAUUAUCGUAUCAUCGGCCUGAGAUAUAUAUAUAUAUAUAUCAACUCAAUCUUAUGAUAGCCAUCGUUUGCCUGAGGUAACGGUGGUUAAACAAAAGCUACUACCUCGGAGGUUUAGCUGCUAGCCGUGGUAACUUAUACUAAAUAUAGUAAACUUCAUAGAUCUUUAGUUUAAAGUACGAAAAGGCUAUAACAAGAGAAUAGGUAGUUCACCCGCAUUUUUACUUGCUGACUUUUAUUUAUAGGAGAUUUUUCACUACUAUCUUUAAAACAUUAGUUCUAGCUCUCAUAUCUAGAAUAAGAUUUAUCAAAUUUCUUAAAAGAUUGGUUUUAAGUUAACUAAACCUAUCGAAAUGUGGCAAAUUGCUCUUUUGUGUAGUAUAGCUGGUAAUUUUAAUGUCUAAAACUUUGAGAAACUAGUAAUCAGUUUACUACAGUUUUUCUAAACUUUAAACUAAAGAUUUGUGAAGUUCACCAUAUUUAAUACAAGUUGCCACGGCUAGCAGCUAAACUUCCGAGAUAGUACCUUUUGUUUACCUACCGUUGUCUCGGGUAAACGAUAGCUAUCGUAAGAUCGAGUUGAUAUAUAUAUAUAAGUCUUUUAUAUAAAAAUCUUUUAAAAUUCAUUACGUCUUGUUGUUCCACACCACGGGUCGUGAUAUAUAUUUGUUUGUUCCUAAAUUCACGGCACCGUACCUCAACACGGCCUUUAAACGGCCGUGUCAUGCCGUGCCACGUACGGCUCGGCACGGCUACACACGGCCAGUUUUUUUUAACACACGGCUGUGUAUUAUCAUACUUUAUAAAUAAAAGAAAUCGUUGUUUUAUAAGAUUGAUAAAUAAUACAGAAAAAUAGUGUCGAAAACUUGAAAUAACUCUUUUAAUGAAUAAUUAAAUUUCUUAUCUCCCAAAACUCGACACGGUAGCCGUGCCCCAGAUAUAACACAUCCAUAGAACAACCGUGCUAUGCCAUGCCACCUAUGCCGGGCACAGCUACCCGUGAAUUUUGCAACAUUCGUUUCGAGGUUUAGUGUUUAUCGUGGGAACUUUAAAAUUUUUUCUUACGACGGUCUCUCUUUUUGUUUCUUUUUUGAAGUUUAUAGUGAGGACAUCAAAGUAUGAAAGAGUGAAAUCAUAAGAUAUUAAAUUUCACAUAGUUAAAUUACGGGACACUAAAAUAAAAAUAGAAAAAUAAUGGCCAAAACAAUUAAAAAAAAACAAUUUAAUCACUGUUUCAAUCUUAAUUUCCCAUGACUUCAUUUAUAAGCUAUUUGGAUUCACCCCGUAGACUUCAAAAAACAUAUAUUAUUAAAUUGCUUUAUAAUUACCUCUUCGACUGCUUUUUUAUUUUUAUUUUGGUAUCUUAUGAUUGCACUAUAUAAAAUUUGAUGUCCUAUGGUUUCACUCUUUUAUACUUUAGUGUACCCACCCACCAUAAACUUCAAAUGGUUUUUUGUUUCCUUGUGAGACAUCGAUUAAUUUAGUCACACUUUUGUUAUAGACCGAAGUUUAAAAAUAAAAAGGAAAGUGACUUAUGUAAAAAAUUACGUCUAUUAUUAUUUUGAUCAUUCUAGGCGUGGACAGAAAUUGAUAAAUUUAUGGAAAGGGCAUUUCCUUUACAGCUUUGCACGUAUUAUGGAAUUUUUAAUAUUAAAUAUAAGCUUUGUCACGCCUCACAUGAUGAUUCGGGAAGUGGAGAAAACUUCGUGUCUCUUUCUGUACCGUGAGAAUGUAGCGGAGUUGUCACGGGGAUUAUCCCUGGUGGCGACGGCGCACUUAUCCCGCGAGCCGACGUUUUUGUGAUUGUCAAUUAUUUUUGUAUUUUCAUGUUUUUUUUAUUUCUUUCUUUUUGUAUGUCGAUCGACCAGUACAUAAAACUCUGACUUCAUAUACAAAAAAACCAAUUUUGAUGCUUGUGGGCAGUUAUAAUUUUGUACACUCUGAACUUUCGAAAAAGUUCUUUAAAUAAAAAAAAUUUUUUUUAAAUUAUGUCUUCACCCUACCUACCGUUAAUUCGACCUACUUUUCAUAGCCUCAGGUCAUUAUCCGUUCGUAGGUCGGUGAGGUAGACUCGGCGCUCAAGGCCCCUUGAGUCGUAGCGUGCCAGCUGUGAGCUACGUUCUUCAAAUCCCAAUUAAACAUACGGUUUCGCUUUUCUUGGAUUCCGCACUCCCGGUGUACACCCGGGUUCGCUCAAGUCGCACCGUGCCAAGAGUGGUGUUUAGUCUGCAUGAUAGGCACCUACAACCGUCAGCCAGCCUCAGGUCAUUAUCCUCGAGUCGGAUCGAUCGAACUACUAAUUGUUGGUCGUAUGUAUGACGUAUAUAUGGGAUUAGGGUAUUCCGAUUCCUUCCUCUAGGGAAAUAUAUAUUAUAACAAUCGCAAGAAUUAAACCGAGGAGUUGGUUUAAUUCGUACGCCCGUCCAUUAAUUUCGGGAUUUGAGCACUCAAUUCGUCGUACGUACGUCGAGUUGUCAGUUGGUGCCCGACCUCCCUACUAGUUCUGCUCUUGACAUUCAUAACUUUUCAAGGAAUGAGACGGACGUCCCACGACAUCCAUUUAACUGGAACAGCUUGGCCCCUACCUAGUCCGUCCAAGGGUUUCCUUACCGGGAGUCCUAACCUCGGGUGGCAUACGCCAACUGGGCAAUGUAUGCACUUGAAGUACGACGUUAGGCAUAGACGUAGUUCGCAUGGCUUGUUCCCUCUCGAUCGAUCGUACGUACGUAUCUCUGUUCGUCUCCCAUAAUUGUUUUCUCGCUCCAAAGACGACGACCGCCUAGUAAGUAUGGUAAAACUCGCCCUCGCCCUUGCCCUCGCCCUUGCCCUCGUCUUCGCCUUCUGUGCUUCCGCCUCGGCGACGUCGGUCUGUUGUACUCCUUCUCGUGUCUCUCUCGAUCCUUUCGGAAGGAGUCGUAAAAUCAAUCGAUUUAUAUAUUGGUGAAACCUUGCUUCAAAGGGAUUCGAGAAUUAAAACCCUGCGUAUGUAUACAUAUCAUGUUGUCCCCAAAAUUAAUAAAGAUAGUUGGUGUGCAAACAUCCGCUAGCUAGCUUAGUGCCCACCGUAAGGGGUCGUUCCCGUACGCACGUCAAGGGUUAGUCGACUUUCCCAACUCCUUUUCCUGUACUUUCUUUGCGCUCGUUGCAGAACGCCUGCAAUUAAUUAAGAGGUAGUACCUUAAAGGAGAUUAAAUUAGAUUUAUAACUCUGUUAAGAAAGUGUAAAAAGAUAGUCUUUUAUUUUCACACUUUUCUAAUGACACUCUUUUCUCUGAAAAUCUAUUUAAGGCAUAUUCUAAAUGUGGAUGCCUAUCGAGUAUUAGUAUUCCCGAACAAACCUGUGAAGUUUUAAACACACUGUAAAAAAGUGAAACCAUAAUUAUACAAGAGAAUGGUAUAAUGAAAUAAAAUUUCAUGAUAUAAUUAUAUAUGAUGAAUCUACCCGUAACAAAAUGAGGGAAGUUGGUUGAACGAAACUAAAAUAAAAUAAAAUAAAAUAAAAUAAAAUAAAAAACCCGUCUCGAUUCUGGAGGAUAAAUAAAAGGUGUCUUUUAUAAGAUAAAACCUGGAUCAAAAUUAUUUUAAAUUAAAAAAUCUAUUAAGAAAGCUCAAUUUUAAAAUAAAAAUAGAGAGGGUUGCACAUACGUUCACCUUCACAUUUUAUAUAAAGAUAUAGAUAAAUUUAGCUAAAAACUCAUUAUUAAAGUUCUAACACUUUUUACCUUGUUUCUAUAGUUCACCGAUCGAUCUCUCCAGGCUGGUGUUUUUCCUUUUCCUAUUCUUUUAUUUCUUGUUUUCUUCUAUUUUUUACACACGUAAUUCCUGCUGGUUGUUAUAGAGUGGUUAGUUUAUUGCUCCCUUCGCUUCUUGUACUAUAAAUGAAGUGGGCUUUUCUCUUUAGUUUUUUGUUUUACUGUCUUGGUUUUUCACUUUUACUAUACACGAAGUCUUAUAGGUCUUCUUUCAAAUCACUAAAAUUUAACAAAAAAAAAAAAUCUCUCUCCAUAGUACGAUGGACGAAUUAAGCAAAUAAUUAAAGUAUAUCUUUAUUUGAAUCGACUUUCACACUUAGUUGAUCCUAAGUUUGAACUCUGGAGCCUAUGGUUGGUGGUUCGAAAAACGGUGAAUGCGAUCCCUGCUAGUCACACUAAAAUUUAACAACAACCGUCUAAAAACUCUACCGGAAUUUAGAUGUAUCUAUCAACAAUUCGAUAGGUAAACAAAACAACUACCUAAUAAGUUCGAUCUUCUAUGAUACGUAUAAAACUUACCUGACGCUUGUUUUUGAUCUAUUACACGUUUGAAACACAACUUCCUAAACUGGAUUAGAUUUUACAUUUUGAGUAUCAAUCUUUUUAAGGAGUGUGAUAUCUAUACUAUCCUAAAAAAAGGGUUCGUACACUUAUCUUCACUCGUAGAGUCGCUGCUUUUUCAUCAAAUUCAGUUGGAGGUUCAAAAAACGAUUUUUAUCCUUGUUUGGAAAGUCCAAAUCACGACCUGGAAAGAACGUGGUUUAACGUGAGUGAGAUCUCAGGGCAGUUAACCAUUCAGGAGUUCGAUCAGGUUUUGAUGUUAAAGUUCCAACACCUUUUUACUUGUUUCAAUAGUUCACCGAUCUUUCCUAGCUGGUGUUUUUCCUUUUCUUAUUUUUUUUUUAUUUUCUGUCUUCUUGUAUCUUUACACACGUAAUUAACUUCUGUUGGUAGUUAUAGAGUGGAUAACUGAUUGAUCCCUUCGCUUCUUGUACGAUAAGGGAAGUGGGGAUUUUUUUAAUUUUUGAUUUUGUAUUUUUUAUUUUUCACUUUUACUAUACACGAAGUCUUAUAGGUACUCAAUCUACCAGCCGAUUCACUAAAAAUAACAACCGAUUAAAAAGUCUACCAUAAAUUUAGAUGUACUUAUCCAAAAUUCAAUAGGUAAACAAACCAACUACCUAAUAAGUUAUAUCUUCUAUGACACGUAUAAAACUUACCUGGCGCUUGUUAUUGAUCUAUUACACGUAUAAAACACAACUUCCUAAGUUUGGAUUAGAUUUUACAAUUGAGUAUCAAUCUUUUUAAGGAGUGCGAUAUAUAUACAAUCCUAAAAAAAAAAAGGGGUUCGUACACUUUUCUUCACUCGUAGAGUCGUUGCUCUUUUAUCAAAUUCAGUUGGAGUUACAGAAAACGAUUUUUGUUCUUAUUUGAAAAGUCUAAAUCACGACCUGGAAAGAACGUGGUCUAACGUAAGUGAGAUCUCAGGGCAGUUGACCAUUCAGGAGUUCGAUCAGGUGUUGAUGUUAAAGUUCCAACACCUUUUUACUUGUUUCAAUUGUUCACCGAUCGAUCUCUCCUAGCUGGUGUUUUUCCUUUUCCUAUUUUUUAAUUCUCUGUUUUCUUGUAUCUUUACACACGUAAUUAACUUCUGCUGGUAGCUAUAGAGUGGAUAACUGAUUGAUCCCUUCACUUCUUGUGCGAUAAGGGAGUGGGGAUUUUUUUAAUUUUUGAUUUUAUAUUUUUUAUUUUUCACUUUUACUAUACACGAAGAUUCGAUUCACUAAAAAUAACAACCGAUUAAAAAACCUACCAUACAUUUAGACGUACUUAACAAAAAUACAAUAGGUAAACAAACGGACUACCUAAUGAGUUUUAUUUUCUAUGAUACGUAUAAAACUUACCUGGCGCUUGUUCUUGAUCUAUUACACGUAUAAAACACAACUUCCUAAGCUUGGAUUAGAUUUUUCUAUUCGAGUAUCAAUCUUUUUAAUGAGUGUAAUAUAUAUACAAUCCUAAAAAAAAGGGUUCGUACACUUAUCUUCACUCGUAGAGUCGCUGCUCUUUCGUCAAAUUCAGUUGGAGGUUCAGAAAACGAUUUUUGUCCUUAUUUGGAAAGUCUAAAUCACGACCUGGAAAGAACGUGGUUUAACCUAAGUGAGAGCUCAGAGCAGUUGACCAUUCAGGAGUUCGAUCUGGUCUUGAUGUUAAAGUUCCAACACCUUUUUACUUGUUUCAAUAGUUCACCGAUCUCCCCUAGCUGGUGUUUUUUCUUUUCCUUUUUUUUAUUCUCUGUUUUCUUGUAUCUUUAAACACGUAAUUAACUUCUGCUGGUAGCUAUAGAGUGGAUAACUGAUUGAUCCCUUCGCUUCUUGUGCGAUAAGGGAAGUGGGGAUUUUUUUAAUUUUUGAUUUUAUAUUUUUUAUUUUUAACUUUUACUAUACACGAAGUCUUAUAGGUACUCAAUCUUCCAGUCGAUUCACUAAAAAUAACAACCGAUUAAAAAACCUACCAUAUAUGUAUAUGUAUGUAUGUAUAUAUAUGUAUGUAUAUAUAUAUAUAUGUAUAUAUAGUAUAGAUAGUAUAGUAGCCUAAUUUUAUAUCUAUAUAUGUAUGUUCUUUUUUUUUUGAAUUUCAUGUUUCCAAAAUUUUAUUUCUUAUGCCUCCGCAGCCAUCAUAGUAUUUUAAAAUGGUUGAUUGCUAAUUUUGAAUUCACUACAUAUCCAUAUUUUGCAUCCAACACAUAUGCAUAUAUGUAUAUGUGAAUAUGUUUUUCUAUUUUGCAUCCAACACAUAUGCAUAUAUGUAUAUGUGAAUAUGUUUUUCUAUUUGCUUCUUUACGGUUUGAUACAUAGUAAUGUACUGCUUGGCAAACUAUAUACUGAACAACAACUCAAAGACCAGCUUUUACCAAUUUUCUAAUCUUUUUUUGGCCUUCACCACUUGGCGCGGCAUACAAGAAAAUUUAUGCUGAAAUUUACUUUUGCAGAGAGUGACACCAUGGAAUGCCAAUAAACUACGUCAUGCCAUCAUAAAUGGUGCAGAUAUUCAUCCUGGAGCUACACAUUACAAGGACAAAGAGAGCAUGUAUAAACUCCAAGUUGGGCCAAAUAAACGUUAUGCAAUCUCUAAGAAGUUGCUUACAUCUAGAGGAGCUGUUGGGCAACAAGGAAAAGGCCCGGAAUCCGAGUUUGAAGGGAAAGUUGUUUAUCGUCACUUACAAGAUGGCGAUAUAGUACUUGUUAAUAGACAGGUAAAAGUUUCUCACAUGGUGCUUGCCCAAACUCCUUUUCUUAUGAACAAGUUCAUUUCUUAUUUAUUUGAAUUGCAAAUUGUUUAAUAAAUAGUAACUUCUAUGAGUGGAGUUGCUUUAUUUCAUAUGCUAACUAGUAUAUACUUUUGGUUCACAUCUAUUUUUCUUUUUCGCUUUUUCAUUUUCGCGUAUUCAAUAUAUAUACUUGAAAUUGAGACUUUGAUGCAUGUCUAAUUGCAUCUAUCCGACAUUAACAAUGGUAAUUGCAUCUAUUGGACAUUUUGUUCGAAUUUUAUUGUAAUGACCCAGCCGGCACUAACUUGUUAGACCUAAACCACCAACCCAAAAUGCCUAAUCCUAGUUAUUACUAUUCAAAUCCAUUCGUCCUUAUAUUUUUAUACACAAUUCUUUUCCCAUCUGGCGCCACAAACUCUCCCCAUUUAAACCUUGACGUCCUCGUCAAGUCUAGUUUCUUGGUCAUUCCCUAGCGAUCACAAAGCGAUAGCGAUGUGAGACCUAUCUCUGACUUUUGGCUGGUAAAUUGACUCUAAUACCAAAAUUAAUAGCCCAACCCUUUAGUGUCAAUAACUUAUUGAUCCCAAACCACCGGCCCAAAAUUCUUUAAUCUUGGUUAUUAUUAUUAGUGUUCUUGAUACUGAUGUACCCAAUUUUGACACUGAUGAGGACAUCAAGUCCAAUUCCCUAGCUUAAGAUCACUAGACGACGUGAGAUGUAGAGGUGGCGCCUGCUGGUUCAGAGGUGGCUCCCUCCAAACCGUGGUGUAGCAUUUUGUUCCGCAUUACCACUUUACUUUUACAAUGCUGCUAAUUGGUUUUGAUGUAAUGAUCUAGCCGGCUAAUACUAAUAACUCGUUAGGCCCAAACCACUAGCCCAAAAUGCUUUAAUCCAACUAUUAUUAUUCGAGCCUGUGGUCCUUAUAUUUUGAUGCACAAUUCUUUUUCUAUCUAAUGUGGGACUAUUGAGGCAUCACAUAUACGCUAUGCUAACUGAUACUAACAUUUCCAUGAUAGUUAGAAUUUUUUAAAUUGCUAUUCUCUAUUUGCCUCGGUUAACUAAAGAAAAUAAACUGCACUACUGGAAAAACUAGGUUUUUUCCUCUUUCUUAUUAAUGUAUAAGAUAGUUUCAACUUUCAACCAAUUGAAUAAAUAGUUUCUUCUUAUAUUUCAUUAACUUCCCUUUGUUUGCAUAACAAGUUACUGUGAAGCUAAAAAGAGGCAACAAUUCAAUGGUCGUUGGAAGCAUAACAGCUAUAAAUCCAAUAUUAAAAUCAAGUUUUGUGCACAUUUUAAAUUCCUCAUUGGUUUUUUUGAAUUGUCAGCCCACUCUUCACAAGCCGAGCAUGAUGGCUCAUUUUGUUCGUGUUUUAAAAGGAGAGAAGACACUUCGUAUGCACUAUGCUAAUUGCAGGUUUUUUGCCGUGCUUUCUUUAUAUUUAUUUUUUUCUUUUUUUUGGUGCUAUAUUGUAGGAAAUUCACUUGAAUUCGUUGUUUACUUAGUACUUACAAUGCUGAUUUUGAUGGAGAUGAAAUGAACGUGCACCUUCCACAAGAUGAAAUUUCUCGUGCUGAAGCCAUUAAUAUUGUAAAUGCCAAUAAGCAGUACAUUGUUCCAACAAGUGGAAAUCCUAUAAGGGGUCUGAUCCAGGUAAAACGAAACUUUCAAUAUUUGAUCUCUGCUUGUUUAUUUAAGAAGUCAUUUGAAGUCCAUACUUUAGUUUUAGCAAAAGCCAGACACUGUCUUUUUGGAACUUUCAACCCAAUUUUCAACUUUAGGAUCAAAUUACCCCUCUGCUACAUGACAGCGAUCUGCACUUCUGAGUGAUAAAUACGCAAGCUUGUAAUUACAGUUCCACACUUUAACUGUGCAUUUAUAAUUUAAAACUAUGCGAUUCAAAACUCUAAACCUGGUCCUGUAGCUGAGGGACAUUUGGCCCUUGAAGUUGAAAACUUGCAAAAGUUAAAAAAAGGUCCGGUGUUUGAAAACAAGGUUAAAAGUUACUUUUUUUCUCCAGUAAAAAUUUCCUAUGGUCUUUUUAAAGUAAGUAUUUACCUUAAUCUUUUCUUCAGGACCAUAUUGUAAGUGCUGUACUCCUUACAAAGUUGGACACUUUUUUGACCCGUGAAGAGUAUCAUCAACUUCUCUAUGCUUCCUGUGUGCCUACAUCUUCCAGUUCUCAAGGUAGUAGGUUGGGCCAAAAGCUUUCUUUAAGUAGUUCGGGCAAUGAGAUAGAGCCACUUCUUCCUGCUAUUUGGAAGCCCAACCCACUAUGGACAGGGAAACAGGUUAAAUAUUUACACCUUUUUGAAUGCCUGGAGCUUUAUGUAAUAUUAACUGUCUAUUGAGUUGUAACCAUGAAACAUGAAAAAGCUGCAUUUGUAUUGGGCAUAUUCAUACAUGAUCAUCUAUUUACGUAUCUCAUCCUGUAAGAUCCGAAUUAUUUGGAAUAUACCCCUUAAAGUUCAUGGUGGUUAACUAUAAUUAGAGGUAGUUUAUUAACGAGGUGCAUUUCAGAGAGUACAAAGGUAUCAGUGUAAACAUCAAGUCCUUGAAGGACAUAUGGAAAUCCAAAAUUUGCAAGGAUAUGCAUGUACAGAAAAGUUUAGGGAUUAUAUUAUUUGUAAAGACUUCUUUUUUUGGUUUUAACUUGUAUAUCUUUGCAGGUUAUCACUGCAAUCUUAAACUAUGUUACAAAAGGCCGACCACCUUUUACUCUUGAAAGUAAAGCAAGGAUCCAAAAGGAAUAUCUAACUGGAAAAGAUCACCCUGAACUCAAGUUGUAUAUUCAUGAUAAUGAGCUCAUACAAGGAAUUAUAGACAAGGCUCAGUUUGGAAAGUACGGCAUAGUUCAUACUGUCUAUGAGCUCUACGGUGCAGAUACAGCAGGAGUUUUGCUUUCUGUGUUUAGUCGCUUAUUUACAUUGUUUCUGCAGGUGAAUUUCUUUGUUUUUCUUCUUGUGAGAACUUAUUACCUUUCUAUUGUUUUACUAUCUGAUUUAAUUGUGGCCGUUGAGAACAUAUUAUAUGGUUUCAGAUUCAUGGGUUUACGUGUGGAGUGGACGACCUUCUACUGUCUCAGGAUUCAGAUCUGCAGAGGAGUAGAAUAUUAGGAAAAAGUGAAAAAUGUAGUGAAGAAGUUCAUAUGAGAUUUACUGGUACUAAGGGUGGUGAUCGAGGUAUGUUUAAUACUUCGAGCAGUACACCAUGGUGCAUAUGCUGAAUGUUUAUCCUUAAUUUCCCUCAUUAUUUAUUGGAGUUUUACUUAACAUAAACCUGCAAAAUUAUCUAUUUUAUAUGCACCCUGAAAAAUCUGAUUGUCUCUAUUGUCUUUCUAAAUUUAUUUCUUAUAAACAUGCUCUUAUACUUGCUAAAUAUGCCCUUUUCUGAUAACUUUGCUAAUUCAAAAACUCAACUUCCCCCAUGAAUUGGAUCUCUCCAAUUUAAAAUAAAAGUUCUUUUGUUGGAAAUUGCACCUUUGAUGGUUAUAUAUGAAAAUUCAAAAUUUUCAGUGGAAUAUAUAUUUAAACAUGUAUGUGUGUAAUCCCCCAUUAUUUGUUGUCCAAUAAUUUGCCUUUCCAGUUAUUCUUGGCAAUUGCACGCGUACUUUCUUUAUUAUGCUUCUCAUGCUUGGUCUUCUGUUUCUACUUCCAUUUCAAUUUCAUUGAUUCAUUCACUUGUUUACGUGUUUCAGUCUACUACUAGCUCGCUUUUUGUUUGUUGAAAUGGUUCAGCAGUAAAAGAGAUUUCAUACAUUGGAUUAAUUGAAAUCAAUACUCACCAAAGUCAGCUGAGAAUUUCUUGCUUUUCUUGGCAUUAAUAGAUAACUGUGGUUUUUUAAUUAGACUAUUCCUCCUUUUUGACUUCAUAGUCUAAUUCCUCUAAUUUCUCUAUGUAGACCCAGUGAAGCUACAAAGGAAGGUUGAGAAAGUCAUACGGAGUCACGGAGACUCUGCGACUAUUACCUUGGAUAGAAUGAUGUCGAAUGCUCUGAAUGCUCUAACUUCUGAAGUGAAUCAAUUACUAUUUCCAAAUGGAUUAGAGAAGCCUUUUUUAGAAAACUGCCUCUCUCUUAUGACUGCAACUGGAGCUAAAGGUGGUUUGGUGAGUUCAUUUUCCUUUUCCAUUACAUUGUCUUUCAGUUGUUGUUUUAGUUAAUCAGAUUAAUGGCCUUCUAUUAGUACCCAUUACUCAGUGUUAGUGGCAGAAUGAAAAUUAGCUUCUAAUUAUUACUGUGCAUUUAUGAGAAGAAUACAGAGUGAUAUAUAGAUAUAGAUACUAUAUGGAUAUUGAUACUAUAUGGAUAUAGAUAUUGAAGAUGUCUUAUACCAUAUAGAUAUUGAUUUAGGCUUAAUUACACUCUACAACUACAUUGUAGUUUAUUUUUUUUUAAUUUGCUAUAUCAUACUUUUUUUUUCGAAGGCACCAUUGUAUUAUUAUAUUUUAUCAAUUUUUACAUUGUGUAUUUUAGAUUUAUUUUUAGUUUUUUUACCUUGUACUGUUUUUUCUCAUGGAUAUCACUAAACUUUUCUUUUUCUUACCAACCUCUACAUUACUUUUUACAAAUCUACUAUUUUAGGUAAAUCUAACAACUUUAUUAAAAGGCACUGAUUAAAUAGUAGAAACACAAUAUAAAAUAAAUCUCGAUGAUAGACUCAUUGAAAGUUUCUAUCAAGUUAUUUUUAAUUAUCCUUUUUCUAUUUUUUAUGUAUUUUGUUAUUUUUAUGUCAAAAUAAGCUGAAUAUAUGCUUUGCCACUCUUAACCACUAUUUUUUAAUAGUUGUUAUAUAAAAUUAUAGGUUUAUUGCUUAGUGUAGGGAUUGGAAAAAACGAUAGUUGAGUGGUGCUUCUGACAAAAAAAAAGUAGUGUGUAGAAAGUGAAAAAAAUCUAUUAGAUAGAGUGUACUAUAGUCUAAUUAAGCUUAUUGAUUUAUACGAGACAAUUCUUGCACAGAUGCGCAUGCAGAUACAUGCAUGCACAGAUAUAUAUGCAUGUAUAAUGUCCUUGUAGAUUAAAUGAAGUUGCCUAAAAGUCAUACGAGUGAAGCAUCCAAGAAGUAUCCAAGCUGUAUACAUUCAAUUCAUUUUAUAUGAUAUAUGUAAAUUAUCCAAGGCCUAUCUUUGAAGUACCAGUAAGGUCAUAUUUGACACAUCCUCUGGAAUAUGAAGCAUCUUUGCUUCCUAUUCAUAGUUUCUACCUUCAAACAAUAUUUCUCAAUUGAUUUACCAUAAUGUGCCAGUAGAUGGUAUUGCCGUGAGCAAAUGUUAUACAUAAUUCUUUUGUGCUGAAUGCCUUUUCACUGUAAUAUUUGGAUGGCGUUGAUCAAAUGUGAAAAACUCUUGAGUCUAUCUUGCCUGACUUUUCGAUUAAGAUUAUAAGAUAUAUGUUAAAUAUUUCAUAAAUAGUCUGCAAACUAACUUUUCUGAUCCUUUUUAUACAGGUGAAUAUGACACAAAUAUCUUCUCUGUUAGGACAACAAGAAUUAGAAGGAAAACGUGUCCCACGCAUGGUCUCUGGAAAGACGUUGCCUUGUUUUCCGCCUUGGGAUACUUCAUCUCGUUCCGGUGGAUUCAUUGGCGAUCGCUUUUUGACUGGCCUUCACCCUCAAGAGUAUUAUUUCCAUUGCAUGGCUGGUCGCGAUGGGUAUAACAUGCUUCUCUUUUGGUAUAUCAUAUGGAUUGUCCCUCUGCUAUCUAGAUGUUAUGACUUAGUUCUUGAACUUUCCACUUGCACUUAGCCCCUAAACUUUUUCCUAUGAAAGUUUUUAUUAGUAAUAACUUUUCCCUUUAAAAUGCAUUUUUUUUAACCCUGUUUUAGCUACACUGAAACAAAGAGGUCAUUUUACAGGGGAAAUAAUAAAUGGUCAUUUUCACAUUAAAUCAUAGAUUUUUUUUUUCUUUAGUUAGGGAUGGAAUAGCUACAUGAGAAAGCUGAGGGACUAUUAUGUGCCUAAGUAAGAAAAAGUUGUGGGACUAAGGUGCGCGGUAUGAGGAUAGCACAGCGACCAUUUUGCUUAUAUUUAGAAUAGUUCUGUCCAAAGUAGUAAAUUAAUAUCACACUGACCAGCAUUUUACAUGUGCAGACUGGUGGACACUGCAAUUAAAACAUCUCGCAGUGGUUAUCUGCAAAGAUGUCUUAUUAAGAAUCUUGAGUGCUUGAAAGUCUCUUAUGAUCACACAGUUCGCGAUGCGGAUGGGUCGAUAGUCCAGUUCAGUUAUGGGGAAGAUGGUGUCGACGUCCUUAAAACUAGCUUCCUUGCUAAAUUUAGAGAACUUGCUGAUGUAAGCUCAUAAAUAGUUUAUGCAACAUUAUCUGUUUACAUGUAUAUCUCUUCAAAAUCUGAAUUUACUGCAAAUCUGAAUUACCUUGUUUUUAACAAAAAUGCGCUCCCUCGCGUGAGCACGAAAAUAGUAUCAGUGCACUUUGCUCUUCUUAACAUGCAAAAACCUACUUUGACCCUUCACGGUGGAGACUAUCAGUACUGAAUCCCCUUCUUGUUGCAGUUCUUUUUUUGUUUUAAAUUCAGGUUUUGUUUGGUACUUUGAGAGUAUGGUCUGAAAUACCUGUUGUAUCCUUUUUUAGUGGGAAGAUCGCAUUGUAAGACUUAAUGAACAUUUCCUGGAUGCAGAAUAUGAAGGGCAGGGGAUAAGUGCUGAUGGUCUAAAAAUUCAGGGGUUAAUCUAGGUUGUUAAUCCUCAGGAGGGCAAACUAGCAAUGGUGUUAUUUGUCCGGGUGGUUUUCUGCAAUUGAACCAACUAUUUUUGAUGGACCUUUAGCUUGAGAUGAGAGUAUGCACAAGUGUAUGUACAUAAAUAAAUGGGUGAUUUCACUGGAAUAUGUAUGCGAAAAGCCCAAUUUUGAAUCUAUCUUUUCCUGCCUUCUAAUACCUAGUAUUAAUGCAUUUUAUUUUGUCUCUCAGAAUCGAAAAGUUAUUAUGGACAGGCUUAGCAGUCAGCUCGGUGACGUGCAUUUGUCAAAAUCUAGUGGUUUCAUCAAUGAAUUGCCAUUCGAGCUGAGAGAUAAAGCAAGUGAAUUUGUUCAUCUAUCAAAAAAGAAACAGCAAUGCCGCUUUGAAAUAAAGCGAAAGGACUUGAUGAAGUUAUUGAAGGUCAAGUAUCUAACCAGUCUUGCUGAGCCUGGUGAGCCCGUGGGUGUAGUUGCUGCUCAAUCUGUUGGAGAACCAUCAACUCAGAUGACGUAAGUUCUCAUCUUCAUUUGGUCCUACAUUGCUUAUAAUGCACAUUAAAGAGCUGCAGAUGUUUUUAUCACUGAUUUAAAUGAUGUUAAUGUUUUCUCAAUAAUUUAUACUACACAUCUAAGGUUCAACUGAGUGAUCAAGUGUAUGUCCGAUAAAUACUAGUUAUUCAUCCUUAGUAGUAGAUAAUUUUAUCAUUAACUUAUAAUGAUUUUAUGUUUGAGCUUUAUAAAUUAAUUGAAUGAAUUAUGAUUUCAUUAUUGUUGCUAAAUUAGUAUUUAUCAUUAACUUAUAAUGCUAGGUUUUUAUCCCAUUUAUAUACUGAAGUAAUAAUAAAGUAUAUCUGAUGCUUGAUUGAGUCUUAGUGUGGAAAUGCUUAACUUGAAAUGAUUUUAUUGUUAAUAACAAGAAAUUGUUAUAAUAAUUUUAUGUUAUUACUCGAGAAUUUAAGUGCCUAGACACAAGGGCUUGCCAAGUAAUACCUGGCACAGAAGUAUGCACGGCAUGGCACUGUGCUUUCCUGACUUGUGGAAAUAGUGGUGUGCUAGUGACCAUGAAGGGACUCCGAGUGGCAGUCAUGGCCACGCGUUUGGUAUGAUCCUAUUUUGGGUUUAUAUAUUCUAAAUAAGUGUUUGUUUUAAAGGUUUUCUAAAAGUAAACACCCUAUUGGACUGUUCAAAGUAUUAAACAUACCUUGAUGCCGAUUCGGUGAGCAAAUCGGCUCGGCGAAUCGGCAGAAAAAAAAAAUUCCCUUUUGCAAAUAGCCUCCUUUCAUUACAAUAUUUGCUCUCCACAAAAUGGAGAGUACUGUGAACUUGUUAACAUGAGUGAAAAAGUAAACCCAUAAUUAUAUGUUGGCCUGUAACAGAAUUUUCUGCUUGUUGAUAUAGUACUUAACAGAGCUGAAAGAAAGGUAUGUUGUGUUUUUCCACUAAAAUGUACUAAUUAUCAGUUCAAAUGGUGUUGUCAACUUUCAAAGUCGUGAUAAAUCAACCCAAAUCAAAUGGCCUUAAUUAGCAACUCUGUCCUGUCAUUUUAUUCCGAGUCUCUCUAAGAAACAAAUCUCAACAUAUUGCAUGUGUUUUUUUCUUCUUUUUUUGGCAUUUAUUCAUUACUUUUGCAGUUAAAAAUUACUAUAUCGUCUGGUUUCUUUUAGAGUGCCUAAUAUUGGAUUCUUUAAUCGAGUUUCACUUGAUUUGUACGUCCUUUUUUCUUUUCUUUUUCUUUUUUUAAAAUUUUUCUUUUCUUUCAUUUUAGUGGGCAUCGACCUUACUUUAUUCCUUGCUCGGGUCAUAAUUUAGUCCUCUUUUUUUUUUUUGCUUUGUAAGAUACUUGUUGAGGAUUUAAUUUUUCAUGCCUGAUAUAUUUUUGUUAGAUCAGAUGUAAUUAAUUACACUGAGGCAUAUUGAUUACUUAAUUAUUGUUAAAUUAUCGAUUUAAUGUUUAUGUCGCUUCCUCCAGGCUCAACACUUUUCAUCUUGCUGGAAGAGGAGAAAUGAAUGUGACACUUGGAAUACCUCGCCUACAAGAAAUUCUGAUGACCGCAUCAGACAAUAUCCGAACUCCCAUUAUGAAAUGCCCGCUGCUUGCGUCCACAACUCUGUGAGUUAUUCAUAAAAUAAGUUUGCUUAUACUAUACGAAUUACAUCACAGAAAAAUAGCUGAUAACUAAAAUAUCUUAUGAUCGUCUUGAUGCUAUGACAAUGUUUUUCCUUUUCAGGCUAAAUUACAAAAAACACACUAGCACUUGCCCUUCUAUCUCAGUUAUGGUUUGCAUGUCAACCUUGCAGUUUACUAGUCUCUCUUAGUUCGAAUAAGUUUUGGAUGACCAUCAAAUUCAGAUGAAAAACUUAAUGAAACUGAGUUGGUAGAUUAUACUAGCUAUAUAAUCAAACAUUUGAUUUACAUAACAGAAAAGACCUAGAAAGAACUCGACAUAGCUCACAAUGUAUGUGAAUUCAUUUUGUCACGUUUUGCUCCUGAAUUUGGUUAGUCAUCCAGAAUUAUUUGACCUUCUCGAAACAAGAAUAAAAUGCAUGGUAGACAUUGUACUUAAGCAAGAAUAAUAGGGUUGGUUUUUGCAGUAUAGCCUAUUUUCAAUUUGACUUCUUUUUUGAAUGUCCUGUAGAUACACUGCUCUCUUAAUAAACCAAGUUGUAUGCUGCUCUUUUUUUCUUUUGAAGGGAGGAUGCUGAACGAGUUGCUGCGAAGUUGAGGAGGAUCUCUGUGGCAGAUAUUAUAGAAAGUAUGGAGGUCCAAAUCGUUCCGUUCUCCAUUCAAGGGAGUCAGGUCUCAACAGUUUAUAAGUUAAAGAUGCACCUCUACCCUUCUGAGCUUUACCCUUCUUAUUCCGACCUAAAAUUACAAGAUUGCCUAUCAACCCUACGUUCAACCUUUGUCCUCGCUAUGGAAGAAGCCAUAGAAAAACACUUAGACUUGAUAGACAGAAUUAACAAUAUCAACACUGUUACUACUAAAGACGAUAACUCAGCAAACGAAGUUGAUGAAGAAGAAAGUAGUAGACCAGCCAAUGAAGAGGAGGGAGACGGAGGUGAUGACGAUGAUGACAUAGGUGGUGAAGACCAAGGAACAGAUGCAGAAAGGAGGAAGAUGCGAAAGAGCGACGAAGUGGAGUAUGAGGAUGGUAUAGAAAAUGAGGGGAGGGGUACUGUGGCAAAUGAUGAUGAACAAAAUGAAGAGCACAAAUCAGGAUUUGAAAGUGAGAUUGAUCAAGUCGAGACAGAAGAUGAUUAUACCAUGGGAGGGGAAACUACUGUUGAGAUUGAGAGAGAAGAGGAGCCAGAUAGCCCAAAAAAAUCCGAGGGUUUUCCUGCAUCUGAUGAUGGAAAUAUGGAAGUUAAAUCAGUCAAGAAGGAAAAGAAAUUGGAGAGGAAAAUGGUGAAUACUAAGAAGAGUAAGAGAAAGUUGAACAGGACUAUUCAUGUGGAGGCUAAUGGUUUGAAUUUUGAGGUUCACUACAUGUUCAGGGACGAACCUCGGGUAUUACUGGCUGAGGUAUAUUCGCUCCCUCUUGCAUUUUCUAGCUGAUUUCUUGAUUCUCAUAAAGCAUUUUAAUAUGCUGACAAUUAGAAAUGCCAUUUUUUUGAUGAUAUGAAAGCAAGGAUUGCCCAUGCCACACUGUGCUGUGGCCAUGCCGGCAUGCGGUGGGCUGUUUUUUUUGAGUUUUUGGGCUUUCGUGGAUUCUUUUUUUUAAGGUGAAAAGUUUUACGAAGGUUUCCAUACUUGAAAUAUGUAGAUCUUAUAAAUCUACUAACAUUUGAAGCAUUUAGUGUGUUCCAUUGCAAUAAUAAGACCAACUUUUAGUGGAAAUGCAAAAAUAGUGUUGUCCCUAAUUUUUUUUAUCAUAUUAGAUCUAGUGAAUUGAACUUAAGUGUUUUCCUAUAAAUAUUUAUCCAGUUAUUACUUAAGUUUUAUUUUCAUGUAUGUUCUUUGUAAUAUAAAAAAAAUAAAUAUCAUCUAGUUAUUCUCUAUUCUUACUAAAUUGUGUGAAAUAUAGUACUUGACCCAAUUUUAUAACCAUUAGAGAUAUUAAAACACUCUAAAAAGUUGUUUCUCGUGAAAAUUUAAUGAUAUAGAAGUAUGUGCCAAUAAGUGCUGAUGUGCCAGUGGCAUAACACUGGCACAAGGAGGCAUGCGGACAUUAGCAUGCAUGGGAUGUGCCAGUGCUACGACAAUCCUUGCAUGGAAGUAAUGAAAUGUUUGUCUUUCUUAACGUUAUUAGGAAUUAUCAUAUAAAAUUCUGCUAACAUUAUGUGAACUGGAUGAUUGUAUGUCUAAAUGUGUUCUCAUCCCUAUGUAUUGUUGCUUAUUUCUGGAAUAAUUGCGUAAAUUGCAUUACUGUGGUAAAACCUUAUUGAAUUUCCGUAGAAUUUCCGUAGAAUAUCUAUUACAAGGUAUGCGAACGGACGAUUUGCCUAGCUCUUGAGUUUUUCUUCUUUUUUUUUUUUUGUGAAAAAAGAAAAAACAGAUUUGGGAAAGAAAUUCAUUUUUAUUCUUUGGUAAAGAAAUUUUAUUUCUUAUUAGUGCUAUAGGUGCAUAUUUGACCAUCCACUACCUGAGAAGCUUCGUUGUUAUUAUAAAACAUGAUACUUUGAUAUUUUAACACAUUAAUCCAGUGCCGAAGAAUGAAUUAGCUAUGGCUUCAGCUUUGAAGUUAGAAUCUAAUAAGCAUGACAUUUUGACAGUGCUACAUAAUAUGAUAUGGAUGAUGCCAUGAGUUGAAGUCUAUUGAACAUUAUUAUUUUUGCAUAGACCAUCACUGAUAUUGUUUUCCUAUAUAUGAUAGCUACAUUAUUCUAAAUGGGAGUUUCUCAGCUGGAUUAUAUGAUUAAACGUAAUUGAAGCUUGCUCUUCUCUAGGGGUGGAAAAGAGCCGAGCUUGAGCGAGCUUACCUCGGCUCAAAUUUUGCUUGAAAUUAAUUUCGAGCCUAAAUUUAGGCUCAAGCUUGGCUUGAAAUUAAUUUGAGCCGAGUUCGGGCGAGCCUAAUUUUGAGUCGAACGAGCUCGAACUCUAAACGAGCCGCUUGAAAUUCUCAACAUUGUACGAUCAAUAGUUUAAUUUGUAUAGAAUAUUAUCUACAAUUUGAUACAAAAACAUGUCUAAUAAUUCAAAAUACAAAAAUAGUUAUAUGAAAUACGGUAUUAUAAUAUGAAGAAAAAUAACUUAUGAGUUGAAUAUCUAAUAUUUUCAGCCUUGUCUUCUCUUCCGCUUUCAAUCUCUAUAUUAUUCAUUUUAUUUAUGCGGUCAAAAAAUGAAUAAAUUAUAUAGGCAAAUAUUGGAUUAAAAUAUCCAAUCAUAUAUAACUAAAAUCAAAAUUUUGUAUAAACAAUAAUUUUUUACCUUAAAAACAUUCUGUAUAUUUUCUCAAGCACACAAUUAAUGGCAAGGCAGGCAACGGUGGGCGCGUGCUGUUAUUUGGUAACUUGGGGGCUUCAGGCUUGGCCACUUGGAGAGAGAGAGAGAGAGAGAGAGAGAGAGAGAGAGAGAGAGAGAAAGAUUAGAGAUUUAGAGUAAAAAAAGAAAAGGAGAGUGUAAAUUUAGUGGUGCCCUUUUGUUUGUCUAUUGGUUUUGUUUUUAUGGGCUAGCAACAUUGGUCCAAUUUUAACUAAACUCAGGUUACUCACUCAGCCUAUUAGUAUAUUUAAUUAAAAUAUAUUAUAUUUAUAUAUUUUUUAAAUAUAUAUAUAUAUAGAGUUGAGCUGGAAUGCUAUCGGUAGCAAACGGGCUUUAUUGCCACCCAUUUGUUUUCGAUGACGGAGCCUCCAAAUCGACGAUCGGCACCGUUGAACAUGAUCUAUACCACUUGAAGUGUCUAGAAACCAAAUUUCAAAUCUUUUCGACACCAUUAGCUUAAUGAUCAAAGGGUUUCAAAAUUUGUAAUUUUAAUGGUCGAUAUGAGGCGUUUUCUCCUUUAACGGCGUAAAGAUAUUCAAAUCAAUUGAAUUUUUGUUAGAAAAUUUUUUAAACUAUUUAGAACAAGAUCUAUACUCUUUGAUCUUGAUUAUAAGACUCCUAUCAUCACUUUUUAAAGAAUUUUUAUUUUCAGCCGUUCAUUUUUGUGUCCACUUGAUGAACAAGUGAACAAUAUCGAAAAAGCAUUAAAUUUGGUUUCUAGAUACUUCAAAUAGUAUAGAUCAUAUUCAACGGUACCGAUCGUCGAUUUGAAGAUUCCAUCAUCGAAAACAAAUGGGUGGCAACGGAGCCCGUUUGCUAUCGAUAGUAUUCUAGCUCAACUCUCUCUCUCUCUCUAUAUAUAUAUAUAGUGAGAGAGAGAGAGAGUGAGUUGGGCCGGAGUUCUAUUGAUAGCAAAAGACCUUUUUUGCUAUCACGUUUUUAACCAUUGGAUGAGAAAUUGUAAGGUUAAGACUUAGUAUGAUAUUAGUCCCCUUAGGGUUGAGUGGUUUCCCUAGAGUUGAGUGGUCCUUACUGGAUUAUAAUAUUUAAUCCAACGGUUAGAAAUGAUGAAAGAAAUUGAUCCAAAGGCUAAAACUUGAUAGCAAAAAGGACCUUUUGCUAUCAAUAGUAUUCUAGCCCGACUAUAUAUAUAUAUAUAUAUAUAUAUAUAUAUAUAUUCGAGCUUUUCGAUCCUAAUUUGAGCGAGCCGAGUAAUACUCAAGCUCGGCUUGAAAUGAAUUUCAAGCUUUUUCUUUUGUUCAAGCUCGGCUCAUUUAAUUUCUAGUCGAGCUUGAGCGAGCCGAAUAUCGAGCCGAACGCGAGCCGGCUCACUUUGUAAAUUCAACACCCUACUGUUCUCUUGCUGAAAAUGAACUGAUGGACUUGAAAUUUGCUUUUUUUUUUUUGGGAUUUGGGAUAUACACUGCUGCAAUUUGUGCAAUUGUGCAAAUGAUAUUUGUGCCUUUCCUUGGAAACCGUAUAUAUUUGCAUUCUAUUCCCCUGCCCAAACUAUAUAUAUAUAUAUAUAUAUGCAAAACUUGUUUUUGCAUAGUUACACCUGAUAGGAACACUAUUGCAAAUAAAUAACAUUUUCAGUGUUACACAUACAAAUACUCCUCCUGGGAUAUUGUGGUGGAUUUGUUCUUUUAAACCAUGUUGAAUUGCUGAGGAUUUUUUGUUUAUUUGAUGCCCAGAUUGCUCAGAAAACAGCGAAGUCAAUCUAUGUAAAGUCGUGCAAGAGCAUCGAGCGGUGCUCAGUAGCCGAGCCGCAGAAGAAAGAGGAGACCCACAUGCUUCAAAGCGUUGGUGUGAACUUCCAAGCAUUCUGGGACUUGGAAGAAUAUUUAGACAUCAACAAACUCAUCUCCAAUGACAUACAUGCGAUGCUCAACACCUAUGGUGUUGAAGCUGCCAGGGCUACUAUCAUACGAGAAGUGAAGGAAUUGUUCCAGGCAUACGGGAUUGACGUAAAUAUCCGGCAUUUAAGCUUAAUUGCAGAUUUCAUGACGUUUAAUGGCGGGUAUCGACCAAUGAAUCGGUUGGGAAUGGGUGAAUACAACACUUCGCCGUUUGGGAAGAUGACCUUCGAGACAGCAUCGAAGUUCAUCGUAGGGUCGGCAUUCCAUGGGGAGGUCGACACACUGGACGCCCCAUCAGCAAGCAUCUGCUUAGGUCAGCCGGUGAAGUUCGGGACCGGUUGCCUCGAUCUGAUGCAGAACCUGGUAUAAUUAUAUCCGAGUUUGAAGUUGAGCAGAGUACGCAUUUGCUAUGUAUCAGCUGUGGUGUAAGAGGUGAAAAUAUGCGGCUGCUCCGAUUUGUACAUGAGAGUAUGAGAUGCAAUUAACAUAAAGAUGUGUAUUUGUUGGCUAAUUAUGAUAUGUACUCUCUGACAGUAUUUAAGAGGAAUGAGAGAAUUUUGGCAGUUACAUUCUUUUCAUGUAAAGUGAUGAAAGUUAGGAUAGUCUUUACUUCGGUGGGACCAUAAUUCGGAACGAUAUUUUCCCGAUACACAAAUGUAUUUGUUAUAGUUCUCUGAUCAAAUGUUGAAUCCUUGUAGAACAAGAAUCUAUUUCCGGCACCUAUGUUGAAACCUGUAAACUAGAGGUUGAUACAGCAAUUUAUAACCUUUUCAUUGAGAUGUUGGGCCUAUAUGCUCUGACCACAUUCUUAUUUUUUUAAACCCCUUUCUUUUUCUUUUCCUCAUUUAUUGCCAAGAGCUCCCUAUAGCAAGCAUUGUAUGUUACAAAACUUUUUGUUAAUGUGGCUUUAUACUAUUGUGUGUGUGUUAAUAAAUUGUUAAGGUAGGGCACUCUUUAACAUCGACUCUCAUGAAAUGCCAAACACAGUUAUACAUUACUCAAUGACUUCCAUGUAGUUUGAUAAUUAGGGUUUCAGUUUUAAUAACUCAGCAGCGAGUUCGUCAGGUGAGCUUACCAGAUUUCAUUCUUGGGAGGUUUCAGAUCGGAUCUUGUUAAGUUGGGUUGAUGUGUUCUUCUUGUAGGUUGCCAUUCUUUACGUGGUCGUGGUAAGAACAGGCAUUCUGAUGAACCUCUCUUGAAUUGUGUUGUUGGGCAUUUAGUUCUUCUACUUCUUGAUGUUUGCCGACUGCCAAGGUAUGUUUUCAGAACCCAGGAUUACUAUGAGAAAAGUUUGUGCCUAAUAGAAGAUCUUCUUCCAUGAACAUGUAGUGUGAAUGAUAUUUUGUUUGAAUGAUUGUGAUUCAAUGUUGAGAAUUUGAUAGAUGAAAAUCAUUACUGUUGAUAAGUAAGUGUGCCUGUAUUUUGGUAGAUGAAAAUCAUUAUUGUUGGUAAGUUAGUAUGCUUGUAUCCUGACGCCGUGCAUGUACAUGUAUAGGAGGAUUCUGUCCGUAUGAUAAGAGAAUCUUUUAUGCAUGUGGCUGGUUUGUGCGGGUCCUGUGUGAGGACCUGUUUGCGAUAUUCGGAUUUUCAAAAAUAAAAAAUAAAAAAAUUCUCGUGUUUUCAAAAAAAUAAUUAAAUUAUGAUUAUUCUUGUGAGCAAAAUUGUUGGUAUUGUAAUUGGUAGCUAUCACAAUAUGAUCAAUCUUUCUUAGAUUCCCUAUGUUCAGUAGGCUACCGUAGUAAACACAAAAGGAGUUUGUUUUUUUUUUUUUUUUUUUAANUAUUUUUUUUUUUUUUUUUUUUUUUUUUUUUUGGGUAUCCAAAAAUUAUUGUUAAACAUUAUAAUAUACAGUAAGGUUUGUCAUGAGUUUUUUUUUUUUUUUUUUUUCUUCAAAUAAUGUUAGCCUUUUAGGAUGUUCUAAGGUGUUAUGUAUAUAAACUUGAUCCAAAUUUUAUCUCUUAUCUAGUUUAAGUCAAAAUAAUUAUAAUAUAAUUCAUGAGAGUUCUUAAAUGCUACUGUAAGAUUAAUAAUUAACAAGAUAUAAUAUAGAAAUAUUUUUAAUAUAUUCAAAUCAUAACUCUUUAAGUCUGAAUUUUUAUCCUCCAUUGCUACUAGUAUAUUUAGUUCCUGGGUAGAUCACACUGGUAAUUGUCAUAAUCAGUUACUAGAUUGAUCCUUCGACUAUAUAAAUAUUGCUUUUUUUUUUUUUUGAGAGAGAGAAAGGUAGCACGCUAUCCGCUUCAUUUAUUUCAUUUAAAAAUAAACUUAGCUAGAAAUGCGAAUCAACUAGAAUUUAAACUUGGGUCUCGGGUACCAACCAUCAAGCUCUUUUGCCACUUGCGAUAGGAACGGUCGGUGACUAUAUAAAUAUUGUUGAUACAGGGGAAAACUCAUUUGCUGCUGACACAUCUUAUAAUAAUAGCGAACAUAUUCAUUAUAGCGAAUAGUAUUGUGAUAUACGUAUAUUACCGUAUCUGGUAAAAUAUAAAAGAUGAGUAAACAGAUUCGUACCAAACCUUGUUGGUUCAUGAGGCCCAAGCGAGGCCUGCUGCCACGCCCCGUGAAAUCGAAAUCGUUGGGCCAGCCUUGCCUCCGAUGAAUGGGCUGUAAACCGUAGGGCUAUAUACCCCUCAAAACUUCUAAAAUAUUUUAUUUAUGGGCUUUUUUUUUGCAAAUAACCCCCUGACAAAUUUUAUUUGCAAAAAUAGUCCCGUCAAAAAAUUAUUUACAAAAAUAGCCCUGCCCUGCCACGCCAGCGCCACGUCAGCGCCACGCGGGCAAGGCGGGCCCAGAUGUUUAAGUUGAACACGGUGAACCAUUCACCAUGUUCAAUACAAGAUUUUUGUAUUGGACACGGUAAAUGGUUCACCGUGUCCAAUACAAAUACCCCAACAAUGACUAAGUUGGAGGUAUUUGUAUUAGACACGGUGAACCAUUCACCGUGUCCAAUACAAAAAGUUUGUAUUGAACACGGUGAAUAGUUUACCGUGUUCAACUUAACCAUCUGGCCCAGCCCCGCCCGCGUGGCGUUGACGUGGCGCUUGCGUGGCGGGGGCAGGGCCAUUUUUGCAAAUAAAUUUUUGACAUGGCCAAUUUUAAAAAAAUUUUUGUAAGGAGGCUAUUUGCUAAAAAAAACCCUUUAUUUAUUUACUUUUGUUUUUUUUUUUUAUUUUAAAUAUUCACCUUGUACAUUUCUCCGUUAUUUAAAAAUACCUCCGUGGUUAGUGCUCGUUAAGUCAUCUCGGGUUAAAUUUGAGUUAAAUUUCAACCAUAAAUAAAAAAAAUAAAAAUACCUAUUUUGUCCUAACUCAAGGGCAAAUAAGAAAAGUUAGUGAUAGUAAAAGAGUAUAUUUAAAAGUGUCAAAAGUCAAAAGGACAAACAAAAAAAGUUGGUGACAGUAUAAAGGUAUAUUUGAAAGAGCAAAAUGGUAAUUUUAUAUAGAUAACAGCUGUUCCUAAUAGCUCACUAACAGAAUUUAACUCUAACAUCUGUUUGGUUCGGGGUUAAGGGAUGGAAUAACCCCUUAACCUUGAAGUUAUUCCCAAACACUCAAUUUGUGGGGUGGGAUUAGCUAAUCCGACCCCACCCCACUACUCCAACCAAACAAACACUAUUUUACCCACUAUCCUUCUUAUCCCACUUACUCCAACAAACACUAUUUUACCUGACCUGGAGUAAGCCCAAUUCUCAACCAAACACAAAAUUACUCUAGCCCCACCUUAACCCUGAACUUAACUCUAUCACUGAAAUAAUAAGUUUUUACUUAACCCCGUACCAAACGGUAGAUUAAGGGUACAUUUGAAAGAAUUUGGAACCUUAAAAGGGUAUUUCUAAUAUUAGAAUUCUAAGAAGGGUAAAUACGAAAGUCGGAAACUUUUCAGGAUAUAUAAAUUAUU